UGGCCAACGGUUUAACCGGGGUUGAUCUUGCUCGCUGUUGGAUAUCAUGGAGCAUAUUGCCCCUUAGUCAGCGCUCCGGUUUGAUGUGCGAGUAUACUGAUAGUGUUGAUGACCCACUGCGACAUUCAAAACUCCAACUCUCCGGUGAAGAGAUCACAGAGGCUAUGCGCAAGAUACUGAAUGAACCGGAACACGUCUGCGCUAGAACCGGCCUGCUUCCCUUCUGUGCCACCAACAAACCGCCAGCUGUAAGACUUUAAUUUUUCUCUUUGCUGAAUCUGUUAUUGAUAUGUCUGGUCAUUGUUUGUAAUAUCAGUGUCUGCAUAAUCAGGGCGAUGAUCCGUUUUGGAGCAAAAAGCUGCCGUAGGAGAAACCAGAGAAACCAGACAAACCGGAUAGAGCAACUCGGCAAAAGACUAAGGUUGUGAAGAAGACUGCCCACAGGAAAAGAACCACUGCAUCUUCUAAUCCAGCCCCUGAUGAUGAGGUGGAUAAUCCGGACUUUGAGGUAGAGCUUGACUCACUUGGUUUAUUUUUCGUGCGUCUUAUUGAUGAUGAUAUUUGUUAGGAUGAUGCCGAAGCCAGCCAUGCGGAUGUUGCAGAGGUAAUUAUUCUCUCUUCCGAUUCAGAAACUUUGCCUUCACAAAAAAUCCGUCAGACAAACCGGAAAGUUAAAUUUUCUCAUCCUCUUGCUUAUUUGGAUCCUAAACUUCUUAUGAAGACUCAACAACACGAAGCUCCCCACACCACCCGGCACAGCGGCCAGGUAGUUACCUCCGCCGUUUUACCGAACAGUCCGGUUCGGAAACGUCAUUCCGAGGUCUCUAAUUCGCUUGUCAGUGCUUGUCCUAAAGCGGGCUGCUUUCGUCAACCUCUUAAUCCGUCUGACUCCGAUUACCAGGUUAUUUCCCACUCAUCUUCUGGCGAGUCAUCGGCUACUCAGCUCCCACCGCUCAAAACGGUGCUUGGGUAAGCUAUAUUUAUUGCGAUGUUUGCAGUACAUUGCCUUAGAACAUAUGUUGUAUUUAACUUUGUUAUUCUUCUCAGGGCCAAACCUAGGCCAAGCAAGAAGGCCCGCCUGGAUAAAGCGGCCGAAGAAGAUGUCAUUCUUGAACCAGGCACAACACCCAAUCUUGAAGCGGCUAUUCCUGAGGAUAUUCCCAACGAUCCACCGCAGCUAGAUGAUGAUCUUACUGCUGAAGAGAGACCUACUGAUAUCUCAGGUCCUAUCCAUCAGCCCACAGGUUCCCUCCGGAUUGGAAGCUCCACCGGUCCAGCAAAACCUACUAACAAGCCAACAGCUCCAGUGCAAACCGGCAGUACCAAGGAUGAUGAAGUUGUCAUUACUGGCACUGGCCAUACUGAGCCAAGCAAUCCUGUCGCUUUAUCCAAACAUUCUGCCAAGGAAGAAUUUGCUGCUUUUGGCAAAGGUAAGUGGAAUGCUGAUCUGACGGCUUACGCUGCUCCGAACGCCCAAGAUAUCCAUUCCGGCUAUCUGAACCGGCUGUAUACCAGCCGUGACUAUGAAGCCGGUCUGGUUAACAUGAUGAAAGAUAAAUAUGAGGUAACUUCCAUAUGCUCCUUCCUGCUUGUAUGCUUUCAUUCUUGCUGACUCUCCUAGCCCCUAAGGGCCGGUUUAAAAUAUUCUUUCAAACCGGGACUUAAUAAUAUCGAUCAGAUAGUAUGACCCGUUGUGCAGAUUUUUGCUGACCACGAAAGGCCCCUCCCAAGGUGGGGAUAGCUUAUGCAUAUCAGUCUGAUCUUGGAUGAGGCGAAGCACCAAAUCUCCUUCCUGAAAGGCUCUGGUUUUGACCCGGCGACUGUGAUAACGACGAAGAUCCUGCUAGUAAAUCGCCGAUCGGGCGGCUGCGAUGUCACGCUCUUCAUCCAACCGGUCCAAAGCAUCUUGCCGUGCUGUCUCGUUGUCCGCUUCAACAUAAGCCGUGACACGAGGUGAAUCAUGACGGAUAUCACUGGGGAGAACCGCCUCCGCUCCAUAAACCAUGAAGAACGGUGUGUAUCCUGUUGUUCUGUUGGGUCUUGUAUUGAUGCUCCAUAACACAGAUGGUAAUUCUUCUACCCAACAACCCGACGUUCUCUGCAAAGGAACCAUGAGCCGGGGCUUGAUGCCUCUCAAGAUCUCUUGAUUAGCUCUUUCUGCUUGACCGUUGGACUGUGGAUGUGCCACUGAUGAAACGUCGAGCCGGAUGUGCUCCCGUUCACAGAACUCCUUCAUAGCACCUUUGGACAAAUUGGUACCAUUAUCUGUGAUAAUACUGUGCGGAAAGCCAAACCGGAAAAUCUCCUUUUUGAUGAACUGAACCGCCGUGGCCGCAUCACACUUGCUAACAGGUUCUGCCUCCACCCACUUUGUAAACUUGUCAACCGCCACCAGGAGGUGGGUCUUCUUAUCUUUGGACCUUUUGAAAGGCCCAACCAUAUCCAGCCCCCAAGUCGCAAACGGCCAAGUAAUUGGAAUCAUUCUCAAUUCUUGAGCCAAUACAUGAGCACGUCUUGAAAACCUUUGGCAACCAUCACAUCGUCUGACCAGAUCCUCCACAUCAGCAUGAGCAGUUAACCAAUAGAAGCCAUGGCGAAACGCUUUAGCCACCAGAGACUUUGAACCGGCGUGGUGACCACAGUCUCCUUCGUGGAUCUCACGCAAAAUUUCACGGCCUUCUUCAGGAGACACGCAACGUUGAAAAGCUCCUGAUAUACUGCAAUGAUGCAACUCGCCGUUGAUGAUAGCCAUGGACUUGGAUCGCCGGAUUAUCUGCCGGGCCAGAAUCUCAUCCUCUGGCAACUCGCCCCGGUUCUUGUACGCCAGGUAAGGAAGCGUCCAAUCCGGAAUAACAUGAAGAACCGCCACCAAUUGAGCCUCCGGAUCAGGAAUAGCCAAAUCCUCUUCACCAGGGAUCUUGACCAACGGGUUGUGCGGCACAUCCAGAAAAACAUUGGGUGGGACCGGUUUGCGCUGAGAGCCCAGCCGGCUUAAAGCGUCUGCCGCUUCAUUUUUCCGCCGGUCCACAUGGUCCACCUGAUAGCCUUUGAAAUAACCUGCGAUAGUAUCCACCUCACGACGAUAUACUGCCAUGAGUGGGUCCUUGGAGUCCCAAGUGCCAGACACUUGCUGAGCCACGAGGUCCGAGUCACCGAAGCACUUAACUCGACUUAGAUUCAUCUCCUUAGCCAUCCGGAGACCAUGGAGCAAGGCUUCAUACUCAGCUGCAUUGUUAGUACAAGGGAACAUUAAACGGAGAACAUAACAAAACUUAUCACCUCGUGGGGAAGUUAAUACGACUCCAGCCCCCGAGCCUUCCAACUGCCUGGAUCCGUCAAAAUGGAUGGUCCAAUACAUAUGAUCCGGCUUUUCUUCAGGUGCUUGCAUUUCCGUCCAAUCAUUGAUGAAAUCAACAAGUGCUUGAGACUUAACCGUUGUCCGAGGCACAUACUUCAAACCGUACGGCCCCAGCCCUAUGGCCCACUUUGCAAUCCGGCCAGUUGCUUCCCGGUUCUGGAUGAUAUCUCCCAAAGGAGCAAAACUGACCACCGUAAUUAAGUGCCCUUGGAAAUAUUGUUUAAGCUUCCGGCUUGCCAUAAAAACUCCAUACACCAGCUUCUGCCAAUGCGGAUACCUUUGCUUGGACUCAAUGAGCACCUCGCUGAUAUAAUAGACCGGGCGUUGAACCGGAUGCUCCUUACCUGCCUCCUUUCGCUCCACCACAAUAGCUACGCUGACCGCCCGAACAUUAGCAGCAACAUAUAGCAGUAACGGCUCCUUGUCAACGGGAGCGGCGAGCACAGGCGGAUUGGCCAAUUGCCGCUUUAAGUCCUCAAAUGCUUCAUCAGCAGCAGAACUCCAGACAAACUGAUCCCUCUUUUUCAACAUCUGAUACAAAGGGAUUGCCUUCUCACCCAGGCGACUGAUAAACCGACUUAGCGCAGCAAUCCGGCCUGCCAGGCGUUGAACAUCGUUGAUACACUUCGGUUUAGCCAGGGAGGUGAUAGCCGUGAUCUUCUCCGGAUUAGCCUCAAUUCCCCUGUUGGACACUAGAAAACCCAAUAGCUUGCCCGCCGGUACACCAAAGACACACUUGUCCGGAUUAAGCAUCAUCUUGUAUGUUCUCAGGUUAUCAAAGGUUUCCUUCAAAUCAUCAAUCAGAGUCUCCUUCUCCCUGGAUUUAACCAUGAUAUCAUCCACGUAAGACAAUUUUGUACACACCGUUGGUAAGUUGCCUGGGCACUCUUGAGCCCGAAGGGCAUAGACACAUAGCAGAAGGCUCCAAAGGGAGUUAUAAAUGUUGUCUUCUCCUGGUCCUUAACUGCCAUUUUGAUCUGAUGAUAGCCAGAAUACGCAUCCAAAAAACUUAAACGCUCACACCCCGCCGUAGCAUCAAUAAUUUGAUCAAUACGGGGGAGGGCAAAAGGAUCUGCUGGACAAGCUUUAUUAAGAUCUGUGUAAUCCACACACAUGCGCCAGGUGCCGUUUUUCUUGAGGACCAGCACCGGAUUGGCAACCCACUCGGGGUGAAAAACUUCAACAAUAAAGCCAGCUGAUAAGAGCCUGGCUACCUCUUCUCCAAUCGCCUUGCGUCUUUCUUCAUUAAACCAGCGGAGGAACUGUUUCACCGGUUUAUAUUUAGGAUCCACAUUAAGUGUGUGCUCAGCGAGUUGCCUCGGUACACCUGGCAUGUCAGAGGGCUUCCAUGCAAAAAUGUCCCGAUUCUCACGGAUGAACUUGAUGAGCGCGCUUUCCUAUUUCGGAUCCAAGUUGGCACUGAUGCUGAACUGCUUGGAUGAAUCGCCAGGUACGAAGUCAACAAGCUUAGUUUCUGCUGUCGAUUUGAACUUCAGGGCCGGAUCAUGCUCCAUAGUUGGCUUCUUCAACGGAGUCAUGUCCGCCGGAUCAACAUUAUCUUUAUAGUACUUCAACUCCUCGGUGGCACAAACCGACUCUGCAUAAGCCGCAUCUCCUUCCUCGCAUUCCAAAGCGAUUUUGCGGCUUCCGUGAAUCGUUAUUGUCCCCUUGUGACCCGGCAUCUUGAGCUGCAAAUACACAUAACAGGGCCGAGCCAUAAACUUGGCGUAUGUCGGCCGCCCAAACAGGGCAUGAUAUGGAGUUUGGAUUUUCACCACUUCAAACGUCAAUGUCUCCGACCUGGAAUCAUGAUCAUCCCCAAAGGCCACUUCGAGAGCUAUCUUACCAACAGGAUAUGCUGAUCUGCCAGGCACUACACCGUGGAAUACUGUAUUAGACGGUUUGAGAUUCUUAUCUGUUAGUCCCGUACGACGGAAGGUCUCAUAGUACAGGAUGUUAAUGCUGCUCCCUCCAUCCAUGAGCACCUUGGUGAACUUAUAACCUCCCACCUGAGGCGCCACCACCAGAGCCAACUGACCCGGAUUAUCGACCUAGGGCGGGUGAUCAUCUCUGCUCCAUAUGAUUGGCUGUUCAGACCAACGUAGAUAACGGGGUAUGGCCGGUUCAACAGAGUUGACUGCCCGCCUCUGAACCUUCCGGUCUCGCUUGUCCAAGCUAGUGGUAAAGACAUGGUACUGCCCACUACUCAACUGCUUUGGGUUGCUCUGGUAACCUGACUGUUGCUGCUGUUGGUUGUAACUACCCUGGUUGUUCUGACUAUUCUGACCAUUAUGUCCGCCCGGAUUACCAUUAAACCCUGAACCGGAACUUCCUCCACCGUAACCCGGCCCGGACCCUGAGCCACCACCAGAUCCGUGAUCAUACAGGAAAUUAUUAGAAUUCUUGAACUCCUGCAUAAUAAAGCAAUCCUUCCAAAGGUGGUUUGCUGGCUCCUCCUUCGUCCCAUGUCUUGGACAGGGCUGGUUUAGCAGAUAGUUCAGGCGGUUUGGGUUAGGGUUGGGUGCUCCACUACGAUUUUUCGUCCUACCCUUGCGCCGCUGGCCAUUGUCCUGUGCGUUGCUAUUAGCCACAAAAUCCAUGUUACCAUCCGCUUUACGCUUGCCUCCUCCGCCAUUGCCUACCUAGUGAUGCUGCUGACCUUUGGAGCUGUUGUUCUUCUUCCCCUUCCCUGUCUUGUCAUCAUUAGAUUCAGGAUCCUUGGUACUAUCAAAAUCAGCAUAUUUUACCAAAGCGGCCAUGAGGGUCCCCAUGUCGGUGCAAUGACGCUUCAUCCGUCCCAAUUUCAACUUCAGGGGCCCAAACCGGCAGUUGCCUUCUAGGGUUAAUACUGCGGUGUCAGUGUUGAUGCGGUCUGAGGAGUGCAACACAUGUGAAACCCGACGCACCCAAUGAGUCGUUGAUUCUCCUUCCUCCUGGACGCAUGCAGCUAAGUCCACUAUCGACAUAGGCUGUUUACAGGUAUCCUAGAAAUUGUUGAUAAACCGGGCUCGAAAUUGGGCCCAUGAACUGAUAGAAUUAGCUGGCAAGCUUUUUAACCAAGUACGGGCCGUUCCUUCAAGCAUCAUGGUGAAGUAUUUCGCACACGCCGUGUCAUCCACAUCAAGCAUCUCCAUGGCCAUCUCAUAGCUCUCUACCCAUGUCUCUGGAGGUUGAUCCGCCGUAUAAUUUGGUACCUUGCGUGGGCCUUUGAAAUCCUUGGGCAGGCACACGUUGCGUAAAGCGGGGAUAAGGCAAGGCACCCCCAAAGAACUAGAAGUAACACCAGGUUCGAUCGAGAUGGUUGGACGAACUGGUGUGAGCUGCCGAGCCUGAUGCUGUGCGGCUAAUUCGGCCUCCCUGCGCGCUCGGGCCCGGUUCACCACUUCCUGAGCGUCAUCAGCACCACCCAUCGGGUUGUUGCCACGGGGUGCUCCACGUCAUUCAUUACUCGACACUGCUAGUUCAUCCAUAUGUCUGCUAUAGCUCCGGCUUGGACGGGGGGUCGAGUGGAUCCGGUCCCGGUUGUACGAGUACGCUUCCUGUUGGGCCAAAGCUGUCCUCAGAAGUUCCUUGACCCGUCGCGUCUCUACUGCCUGCGGCGAGUCACCUUCAAUUGGAAUGGCCUCCAGUCGUGCAACAGCGGCAACAAGAUUGUCCAUUGGGUUGGAGUAGUGACCCGGAGGUGUUAAAGCAUCCUGAGGUAUAACGGUAUUUUGACGAGGCGGGUCCAUCUGACGGGGCUGAACCGGUGCACCGGUCCCAGGGGCUUCUGCCCGGCUCCCCUCCAGCGGAUUGCCGGUUCUUGGUCCUAGAGUGUUGAAAAGGUCUCUGGCCUCGAAAACCGGAGGUAAGCGGGAUCGGUGCUUCCUCCUCAUGACUUCAUGCGACGCGCUCUGGUCCAACAUAAGCAUGUAGGCCUGUGCGUCUAAAGCGGCCCGCUCUGCGGCCAUCCUGGUGUCCUCAGCCGCCAGAUCCGUCUUGGCCUGGGUGAUUUGUUCCUUUACUUUUGCAAUCUCCGUGUUGUGAGCGUCCUGAUCUGGCGGAUUAACUUCUGCCAUAAGCACAGCCAACGCAUCAAAUAGUUCUGAUAGAACCUGAGCCGGCGGGCGCACAGGGCCUCCUGCCCCGGCAGCCGUUGCCGCUGCUGAACCGGAGAUCGUUGCCGCGGCUGUCGAAGAAUGAAGCGCUGCUUGUGUUCCGGUCAUGAAUAUUCCAACCCGGUUAGGCAGAUCAGAGGGGUCCAGAAUACUGUCACCAUCGGAACAGCUCUCAAUCCGGCCAUCUUGUAGCUGAUAAAGAGAUUUGGUUUCUCCGGUCGAAGAUUCGUCACCGGAACAAACGGCAGUCGCCCCGCGAAACUCCGAUGCGUCCUCAUAACUCCCUCCAUGGAUCAUUCCCACGAAGGCACGCUUCAUGGCCGGUUUAACCCGGGCGAAUCGCGCAUGCUGAGCCGUCUCGACGAGGUCGGUGCAAAUGUCCGGUUCAGGGCCCGGUUCACCGAUCUUGCCAAUGAAAACGUGAAUGCUACCAAAGGGGACCCGGUACCCGUACUCAAUUGAGCCGGCCUCGGGGCCCCAGCCUGCGUCGUCGAUGUAGAGCUUGCCGCGACGACUCUUAGUCAUCCGGCCUACAGCGUAGCCCUCGAGUCCUUCAAAGCGGCCCUCCAAGAACCGGAAACCAUCGUGCGAUAGCCCCACGGUGGGCGCCAACUGUCGUGGGUUUGUCAUGGCAGAUGUCCUAGAGAAAGGACUUAGUACAUGGGUGACGCCCGUCGGUUUACAGAGUCCCAACACCGGUCCAUAGAUGUGUCCGGUUUGAUCUCUACUUAUUCCUAACUUACAAUACAAGUUACAUAUUGACGCCAGUUUACGGCUACAGGCUCUCAACCGAUUAUGGGUCUUGAGCCCUCAUCUAUCUUCAUGGGUUUUAACCUGCUUAACUACCGAUGAAGUUAAUCCGGCCCAGAUAGGCCGGUUUACGCCCAGUAGUAAUAUCCCCAACACUGGGUGUGGGAAAGAAGAGAAGAGGCAUGACCAUGCAAACCCCAUGUGCGUACCAUAAUUGUUUCCGAACCGGUUUAUUUAAUUUUUAUUUCAAAGAUUUUUCUUAAAAUAUUGUUAAUCAGUUUUUAACAUGGAAAAAAUGAUAUCGCUAAAAAUGAAAAAGUGUUCAUGUAUGUACAUAUGAAUAAAAAUCCCACCGCGUAUAUAAAAAUGUUUGUAUAUACAAAAAGGUUCAUGUAUUUUUAGAAAUAGUUGAUAGCUAGUUUUUUUUUAGAAAAUAUUCAUACACAUUUUGAAUAUAUAUUCAUGUACUCUAGAAAAUAUGUUUAAAAAAUCUAAGAAGAAAAGGAGGACAUAAAUAGACAACAAAAAGGUGGAAAUAGAAACAAAAAAAUGAUAACAUAAAAGGUAAAACAAAGUAAGCAGAAGUAUUGAAAGAAAAAGGAAAAGUCCAACUAAAGAAUCUGCCCAAUAGACUGGCUGAAUCUACUCUCUACCAAGCAGACUGAACUUGCUGUAGCAGUUGCGCGUGAAUCUAGCUAGGAGCGAAGAAUGGGUCACACGGCCUGCAGCUCGCCCGCCCGAUCCCACAAGAAUCUCUCCCCUGGUUUGUUACUUCACUCCAGUGGUUGGCCCAUCGAUCACCCAUCCCACUCGACCCCCCCGCAACUCGCAUCACACAACUCCUAUUCUCUUGUUGGCUGAUCAACCAAGUUCUCGUCGUCUCGAUCGUCGAAAAUCUAUCGAUGGGGUCGUCGUUUAAGUCGGAGUGGGGGCCGGCGAUCUGCAUGGUGCUCAUCGAGCUGUUCACCACGGGGCAGCUGCUGCUCACCAAGGUGGUGGUCGACGCUGGCCUCAUGGUCUUCGCCCUCCUCACCUACCGCUUCUUCCUCGGUGCCGCCCUCGUUGUCCCUCUCGCCCUCAUCCUUGAGCCGUACGUCAUCGCUUCUCUACUCACCGCCAAUGCAUCUCAUCUUCAAGAUUUUAUUGUUACUCCCUCCGAUCUAUAUUAAAUGUCGCUGGUUUAAUACAAAGUUGUUAGAGGGAGCACUUAUUAAUUUAUGCACGCAUGCAUUUCUGACCGAUUAUAUUCAUGACGUGACGUGAUCGAAUUCCUUCUUUGCACUUAUAUUGAUAUGUGGUUCGUGUGUGCCUAUGGGUGGAUGGCAUGUUGUGUUUGCCUGUUGCCGCCGUGUCACUAGCAUGUACUCCUAAAAAUGUAUAAGAUUGUUUAGACCACGAAAGACUAUUUCUUUACAGAGGGAGUAGUCUCCAGACAAGUUUAGCUUGACAGACCAUUUGUCUUCUUUCCUGGUGGCCGAAGAAGCUACUGAGUUUGGCGGUGGGAACUGUAAGCAUAUCAAAUCUGAUAUGUAUGCCACGCACAUAUGUUACCAGGAUCUAUUUCACGAGUCUUCCAUGACAACAACACAACCUUGGCGCCUGCCUUAUAAGUAGUAUGGAGGGCGAUCACAUCUUUAGGGAAUGAAGGGGAAGUAGUGGCUACUGGCUAGGGCUACACCUGGAUCAAAAACAUAGCAAAACAUUUCAAAAAAAAAUCUCUGUAUUUUUUUACAUCCCAGGAGCUAUGUAGCUCUGUACUUUUUGCAAAGCUGCUCGGAUGUCAUUUGGGAAUCAAACUUUGCAAAGACCUAUAACAUUUGUUCAUAAUCAUUGUCACAAAGUUAGACAACAUGGUCUACAAGUAACACUUAAGGCCGCAUCAACGAAAAUUACGCUCGUAAAUUAAAAGUAAUUGGAUACACUAGCACCACCUCAUGAUCAGAAAUUACAAUAUGCAUGAUCUUUGCAUUUAUAUUGAUCUGUUAUGUUCUUCCCUGCUGGACCAAUAUAUGGUUUGUGUUUUGUCUAUGGCGUGUUUGUCCGUUGCGUUCACCAUGUCGCCAGCAUGUGUUCUGUUACUUCUGUACUGUGUUUAGCUAUUGUUUAUCUUCUUUCCUGAUGGACAAAGAAGCUAUACUGGGUUUGUAGGCGUGGGAAUCAUAAGCAUAUCAAAUCUGAUAUGCCAAACAUAUUUUCCCAAGAUCUUUUUUAAAAAAUAUGCAGCAAAGUCCAGCUAUUUCUCUCAAAAAAAUCUCAAGAUCUCACUAGCCUUUUUUCGAAACAGAGGCAAAAGCUUUGCCUCAUCUCAUUAAUAAAGAAAAAGGGUAACAAGUUGCCCGGUUAAUUAACAAAGAACCGGGCGAAAACCGCUACAACACAACCACAAGAAAGGGCACCCCGGUCGACUUGGCACCGACGAGACCACACACACCACCAAGAAGAGGACACUGCCGAGGUUGCCUGCAAUGUCAUCGUCAUCACCUCUCCCCGAGCAGGCGACUCCGAUUUCGCCGCUGACGACCCAUCAAGACACCUUCGAACAAGCGACACACGAGAACCUCGCCGGCCAAGGGCAACACCACGCGACCUGGCCACCCACACGAAGACACACACGCUGGCGAGAAGAAACACAAAGCUGAGGUUUCCACCAGGUCUCAUCGUCGUCACUCCUCCACGAGCCAGUGAUUCCGACUUUACCAUUCAACUUCCACAAACGAAAUCCUCGUCGCAACAGACGCCGGUACCCAUGCCGGCCCAUGCCAAACAGUCGACCCUCGCGUAGCAACAGGCAGCUCCGACUCUGAUGACAAGCUCCGGAGAGGAGAUGCGCAAGACCCGCGCCGAAGAAGAUCUUCACCACCGGACCGCCCCUUCCAGGUCAUCGUACGCCGCUCAAAUGAAGAGGCUCAAAAAGCAUAGCAGCUCAGACUUCACAACAAGCGAAGACCAAGACGAAGAUACUCGGACACGCCAGAGCCAAGCCCACUAACAAGGUCUUGCCGCUACCAGACCAUCGCUCACCAAUGUCAUCGUUGCCACACAAGCCGUCACACGGACCUCUGGCAUCGCCGGCCACGUGCCGCGAUGCCGUGCAAGUCCAACCCGGGUUCUCACUAGCCUUUCAUGACAACAACCUUGCAUAUGUUUCUCAUGUGGUUAUUUACCAGUAUGGGUUUAGCUCACGAUGUCUUUGGGUUUUGGAAGUCCUCCACCGAACGAGUAGUAUUUCACCACGAAAGGCUUACAAGGAAAUUCCACUAGUAUCAUAUAGACUACUCCCUUUGAUCCAAAUUAAUUGACACAGAUUUAGUACUAAAGUUGUGUCAAUUAAUUUGGAUUGGAGAGAGUACAUGAUAGAGGUUGAGCUCAUUACUCGAAUGAAACCAAGUCUACAACAAAAGGCUAGGAAUUACGUUAUUACUCCCUCCGUUCACUUUUAUAAGUCGUUUUAGACAACUGAAAAUGAGCUAAUUUGCACCUUGUCUGAAAUGUCUUCAAAGCCUUAUCAAAGUGAACAGAGGGAGUAAUUAAGAGGCAUGUAGAUAACAGAGCAGGCCCUAAAUCUGAAAGAUUAGAAAGUUGAAAGUAUAGCUAAUUAGAUGCAAACACAAGUUCAUUGCAUGCACCGCCCACCCAUAUUCCACUAUUUAUUUUUUUAGAGAUUGAGGAAUAACUCUUAUAUAUCCCUCAAACAUAAAGAGAAAAAUUAGAGGGUGGGGACAUCUUGCAAACACAAGUUCUCUGUACAUGCACGCCACUAGCUCACACAUAAAGAAUGACAAGCACUUGGUGAGUUGUUAGAGCCAGCACUCAUCUCCCCUCCCUCCCCGUAGCUUUGCCAUUCCCUCCUUGUCACUUUGCUCAAAGGCUAUCUCCAUUCUCUAAUUCUCCACCACGUACGUCCAGCGACAGUAAUGGGGGGCUCGACGAACGUGAAGGAAUGGUGGCCUGCCAUCUUCAUGUUGUUGAUCCAAAUUUUCACGACAGGGUUAAUGUUGCUCACAAAGGUGGUGGUGGACAAUGGGUCACUUGCUUGGACCUUGCUCACGUACCGCUUCUUCCUUGGCGCCAUCUUGGCCAUCCCCUUGGCGAUGUUCUUUGAGAAGUUAGCUCUAAUUAACUACUGUUAUUUUAGCAUAUUUUUCUCCUUCUCAUGGUUGUCAUAUGACAGGGAACAUUUGGCAAGUAAUUAUCAAAAUGUGUCGUGAUAUAGAAACAUUUUGCAAAUGAUUAUCUGUUUACUUACCCUCAUCACCUCAUGUAGAGGGAGGUUGAAGGAGCUUACACUGAAGGCGUUCAUAUGGAUUUUCACCAGUGCACUUGUGGGGUUAGUCAUUUCGUUCACAUCAUCUCAGUUCGGCAAUGGUUCUGAUAAAUAUCUACGCACAAAGUAGUGGUGAUUGUUGCUUUCACCUUCCAGAUUCACAAUUCCUGGUUUCGCCUACAUUGGCCUCGGAGACACAUCGCCAGGAUACGCAGUAAACUUCUAUAACAUCAUACCGAUUGCCGCCUUCAUCCUCGCGGUCCUUUUCAGGUAAACAAGAUGGAAAUAUAAUCACAAACGCCUACUAGGAAUAUUGGGGCCAUAGAGGAAGGAACUGCAACAACCGACUGUUAUUUUUCUCUGGAAGGAGCCACUAGACAUGAGGAGCCUGGUGGGGAACAUCAAGGUCGUCGGAACCCUAGUCUGCGUUGGAGGAACGCUGGUGAUCAGCCUGUACAAGGGCAAGGUGCUGCACCUUUGGCCCACAAAUAUCAUCGGCUACCACCCAAAGCAAGCCGGAGCUGCUUUUGGUCACCACCAUGUGCGUGGAACCAUCUUGCUCAUCACCAGCAGCCUCAGCCUCGCCGUCUGGUACACAGUACAGGUAUAUAACAAACAUAUAAGCAACAAGUCACUAUUGCAAAGUCUCAAAUAAAUAGUAUUACCUAUAUAUCAUUAAUUUUGUACAGGUACUUCAUGCAAAAUUCAACUCCUCCUCCGAGGGAGUAUUACCUUUUUAAAUUCUUAAGCAAAGUGUGACCAAUACAGCUUAAUUAUAUAUGAGUUUGUAAUGAGCAGGCUCAGAUGCUAAAAGUGUUCCCAUACAAGUACUGGUCCACUGUCGCUACAUGCUUCGUGGGGAGCAUCCAAACGGCUGUCGUGGGGGUUGCCAUGAACAGAGAGAAGGCAACAUGGGCGCUCAAAUGGAACAUGAGCUUGCUCACCAUUGUGUACUCGGUAAAACUAUUCGGCUAUUCAUUUUGUUGUGCAUCAGUUCACUUUGUGGCUCUCAGUUGAAGGUCCUCAUUUACAUCUUGCUGCAGGCAAUACUCAACACUGCUGCCAAAUUUGUGAUGAUUUCAUGGGUCGUCAUGCAGCAUGGGCCAACCUAUCCGGCCAUGUUUUGUGCCGUGACGGUGUUCUUCACUACUAUUCUCGACUCGUUGCUUCUCGGCAAUGAUAUGUCCGUUGGGAGGUAUGCUUACCACUUCUCUCUAUCCUAUAUUAAUAAGUGCUGAUUUUGGCUAACGUUCUUAAGACCGUAGGUAUAUACCAAAAUAUGCAUUGCCAAUUACUAACAUUAUUUUCUUAAAAAUUGUUGCUGAGUUUCCUUGCAAUUAAUAACCGAUCGGUUUACAUGCAUGCAGUGUUCUAGGCAUGUUCAUGAUUCUAGCUGGGCUCUAUCUUUUCCUUUCGGGAAAGAGAAAAGAAUCGGUACCUCCGAGUGAAGAAAAUCCAAAGGAACAAAUGUUGUUUCAGAGUGGAGACAAGAAUGAUAAAUCAGUAGCUAAUGUAUGAUUAUUUCAUUUGGCAAUAUUACAAAAGGGACUAUUCAGAAGUUUGUGUAUUAUGAAAAAUAGAGGAAAAUGGUCAAUAUUGUUUGUGAUGUCCUCAACCAUUCAUCCAAUUUGAUCAUCAUGAAAAAAGGUCAAUAUCCCAAAAUUGUUGAUUAUGGUAGUUGUCUUCAUUUUAGUUAGCGAAUUUUAAACCAGACAAUGAAAAUACUAAAAUGACACAAUUAGUUCUAAGUUUUGUAGUUUCUUUGUUUGGUUUUAUAUGAAGUCCUCAAGUAUUGACCCUGCAUUAUUGUAUCUCUCCACUUCCUCCUGCCUUUUCCUCCUGUCUGAAAGGAUCGAGGUGGAUCUGCGAGGGGCCAGGGCGUGAAUAGAUCUCUACAAUAUUUAUGAUGCUUGCAAGGUCAAGGGACCAAAGUAAAACACAAAUGAAUGAGCUACGGUUAGGGACAAUCGAAGGCACAGGGAAACGAAGAUUUAUUUCGAUGUUCACUCCCUUAGAGAGGAGAUAGUCGCAUCGUUGGAGAGGUUGGAAUCCACAAAGGAAACCUACACCACAUUGCAUAAGAGAAACUCCAACGCGCCGACCCAAACGGACGCGCUCUUUGUCCGCUUUUUGUUCGUUUGGGUCGGCCGCCCGCUCAACGUCCGCCCUCUUUUUGAUUUGGGUCGGCUAUGCGCCCAAUGCACAGGACCCAUUUCAUGUCCAUGCAUAAAUUUUAAAAGGCCCACUGCCAUAGAUCAUGCCAGCGGCCAUGCCAUCGGCCAAAAUUCAUGCCGGCACCAUGCCAAUGGCUGGCAUACAAUGCCAGUCUCCCAAAAAUCCACCACACAGUUUAUGCUGGCACACUUGCCAGCGGUCGGCACACAUGCCAGCACACAAAAAGGGGCGGGAAUUUGACCACGCCAUCUCAGCCGUGGUCAUGCCAGCACACUUGCCGGCAUACAAAAAAAGGAUGGUGCUCUCCACCAUAGAUCACUCGUUGUUGAACUUGAGCAUGUCGGCCUGCAUCUUCUCAAACCACGCCUCUUCCUCAGCGACACGGUGUUCAAGUCCACCUUCAUGACCUCCACCCCCAUCAUCAUGCUAGCGAGCUCCACUUCUUUUGCCUUUCUCUUGGCAUUGACGGCCUCGAUCUCGAGCAUCUUGGCUUGCUUCUCCGCUUCCAUCGCAAGCAUCUUGGCUUGCUUCUCUCAAGGUCAAGCCUCCCCCUUUGGAUCUCCAUGAAGGUGUUCAUUUGAUCUUCCUUAUAUUGCCGGCGCUUCUCCUCCCUUGUGUCCUUCUUGCUCAUUGUCGGUGUCAAAACCGGCGGAUCUCGGGUAGGGGGUCCUGAACUGUGCGUCUAAGGCGGAUGGUAACAGGAGGCAGGGGACAGUUCGGGACCCCCUACCCGAGAUCCGCCGGUUUUGACACCGACAUUGGUGCUUUCGUUGAGAGUUCCUCUGUGUCGUCACCGUUAGGCUUGAUGGCUCCUUCGAUCAUCGAUAGCGAUGCAGUCCAGGGUGAGACUUUUCUCCCCGGACAGAUCUUUGUAUUCGGCGGCUUCGCACUGCGGGCCAACUCUCUUGGCCAUCUGGAGCAGAUCGAGAGUUACGCCCCUGGCCACCAGGUCAGGUUUGGAAGCUUAAACUACAUGGCCGCUGUCCGCGGAGACUUGAUCUUCGACGGAUUCGAGCCCCUGCUGAGUGCGCCCCACGAUCACGAUGAGCAUGAUUUAGCUCUACCAUCGGAUAGUGUUCAUGAGACCGCACCGGCAACCGCUCCGACCCUCAAUUUGGAGCCAAUUGCGCCAUCCAUGGACGGGUUGAUAGACCCCGCCACGGAGGCCAUAUUCUCAGCGACGAUCGAUCCGAGUAUCGACCUUACCCUUCACGGGAGCCGUGACGCCGAACUACCGGAUUCUUCCCCGGCCACGGACUCUGAACCACCUGCGCCCGUGCCUAUCGAAUCCGACUAGGCGCCGAUCAUGGAGUUCACCUCCGCGGAUAUCUUUCAGCACUCGCCCUUCAGCGACAUACUAAACUCAUUAAGGUCUCUCUCCCUGUCAGGAGAGUCCGGGCCGAACUAUGUUCGGCAGGAGUGGGAUGCGGAUGAGUGGAGUGGGAUAUCUUUCAGCACUCGCCCUUCAGCGACAUACUAAACUCAUUAAGGUCUCUCUCCCUGUCAGGAGAGUCCGGGCCGAACUAUGUUCGGCAGGAGUGGGAUGCGGAUGACGAAGAAAUUUGCUGCCCACCCACCACCCACUUAGUAGCCACUGUCGAUGAUUUGACCAACAUGCUCGACUUCGACUCCGAAGACAUCGACGGUAUGGACGACGAUGCAGGAGACGAACAGGAACCACUGCCCACAGGGCACUGGACGCCCACUUCAUCAUAUGAUGUAUACAUGGUGGACACACCCAAAGAAAACAACGACGAGGAACGGAAGGACGCAGCGAAGGGUUGUUCCCUCGAGAAGCAGUCAAAGCAGCGGCGUAAGCGCCGCUCCAAAUCCCGCCUCGGCGGAAACAGCGAUCAUAUAGACCCAGCGAUAGAGCAGGGUGAACCAUCGCCCGAUCACGGCAACACGAAGAAUCAAACCGAACAACCCGACUCAGUCGAAGAUAACAGUCCGGACGACAUCACACCGGACAGGCACCCGGAGCAACAGAAUGCCCAUCAAAGGCUUGUUGCCACUGCGAGGAGUUUGAAAAGGCAGAAGCAAAGGCUCAGGGCUGCACAAGACACACUUAGAAUCAGAUGGAGUGAAGUACUCAACACUGCAUCGAAGUACGGCGGUAAUCGCCACACCAAGAGCUACCCGACGCGAAAGUUGCUACCUGAAUUCGAUGAGGAGGCCUUAGAUCCCCCGCAACCAAAAACCAAAACGGCCAUCCGAUCGGAUAGACGACCUCGUGGCCAACAUAGAGCGGCAAACGACGCCACACAUAAGCCAGUACGCGAUCCAUGUGAGGGCUCGCAUCAAAAGGAUGGCGCAACCAGAUCCAUCUACGGGCCAUGCAAGCACGCUCCAGCAUGCAAUGCAACACAACAAACAUCCCAACACCACGGUACAGCCAAAUACAGGGGUGCCGCACACCCCCUAUGUUUCACCGAUGAGGUGCUGGACCAUGAAUUUCCAGAGGGAUUCAAACCCGUAAACAUAGAGGCGUACGACGGAACGACAGACCCUAGGGUCUGGAUUGAGGACUACAUCCUCCAUAUCCAUAUGGCUAGGAGACGAUCUCCAAGCCAUCAAGUACUUACCCCUCAAGCUCAAAGGACCAGCUCGGCACUGGCUUAAAAGCCUCCCCGAAAACUCCAUUGGAAGCUGGGAAGAGCUCGAAGACGCCUUUCGGGCAAAUUUUCAAGGGACCUAUGUCCGACCACCGAAUGCAGACGAUUUAAGUCAUAUAACUCAAUAGCCCGGAGAGUCAGCCUAAAAGCUUUGGAACAGGUUUCUCACUAAAAAGAACCAAAUAGUCGACUGUCCGGACACCGAAGCCUUAGCAGCUUUCAAGCACAGCGUUCGAGACGAAUGGCUUGCCAGACACCUCGGCCAAGAAAAGCCGAGAACAAUGGCAGCAUUAACAAGCCUCAUGACCCGCUUUUGCGCGGGCGAGGACAGCUGGUUAGCCCGAUGCAGCACCUGCGACCCAAGUACAUCCGAAGUCAGGGACGGAAACAAGAAAUCACGACGCAGCAAAAACAAGCGCUGGAGUAAAGAAGACAGCCCGAAGAGCACGGCGGUAAACGCCGGAUUCAGAAGCUCUCAGCCAUGUCAGCAAAAGCUGCCCUCCAAAGGCAACAGAGACGAACUGUCCAGUCUAAACAAGAUUCUGGACCAAAUAUGUCAGAUCCAUAGCACCCCCGAUAAACCUGCAAAUCAUACCCAUAGAGAAUGUUGGGUCUUCAAGCAGUCGGCAAGCUCAACGCCGAACAUAAGGGGCAGGAUACACCAAGCGAAGGCGAGGACGAGCCUCGCAAGCAAAGCACUGGGGAAUAGAAGAAAUUCCCACCAGAAGUCAAAACAGUAAACGUGUUACACGUGACAAAGAGGAAAAACAAAGCGGCACUCCUAGAGACACAUGCCCUAGGGCCUAUCACCGUGGAGUUCUGCCACUAGUCGUCCCAACCGAUCACCUUCGACCAUCGGGAUUACUCGGCAAGUAUCUGGCAUGCAGGAUGGGCUGCCUUGGUAUUAGACCCAAUAAUUGAUGGAUACCACUUCACAUGAGUCCUGAUGGACGGCGGUAGCAGUCUAAACCUGAUAUAUCAGGACACAGUCCGCAAAAUGGGGAUAGACCCAACAAAAAUUAGCCACAGCAAUACUACCUUUAAAGGAGUAACGCCAGGCCCAGAGGCCCAUUACACGGGCUCCCUGCUACUAGAGGUUAUAUUCGGCUUUCCCGAUAACUUCUGCAGCGAAAAUUUAACGUUCCACAUCGCUCCGUUCCAAAGUGGUUAUCAAGCACUACUCGGAUGCGAAGCUUUCGCUCGCUUUAACACAAUACCGCAUUAUGCUUCUCUCAUGCUUAAGAUGCCCGGUCUGCGCGGCAUCAUUACAAUAAAUGGAAAUAUUGAGCGCUCCUUGCAUGCGGAAGACCAUGCGGGUGCCUUGGCAGCCGCACACUAAACGGCCUCACCAACUAAAGCAUCUGACAGGUCGUUAAGACCACGAACGCGGUUAGACGAGUCCGGCGUAGCUAUAUGUAAUCGAUACAGGUUUGAUGGCUAUACCCCUGUUACAAUACAAGGGGCUCAACGCGCGCAAACAAGUGGCAAUUAGGCUCAACUUUACUCAUCUUGAUUGUACAUGGUUUCUUUAGUAUAACCUACCUUUUCACACGACAACUUGUCAACUAAGUUCCUCUCUUUUACAGAUGACCAUCGUGCUACACUCGCCCAGGAUACGGCACAACGGAGACACAGGCGCAGACGUGCAGCAGGGACCCGUUCCAAGGAUUCUUUUUAGAUUAAGACCCUGUGUAAACCUUUUUUAUUGUCUCUUGUUGAUACACAUCAUCCCCCGGAUUCUUAGUACAAUUGAGAAGGAUGCUAACGUAUUGGCAUGUGGCCACGUCAGAAUAUUGCAUGUACCUGGACACCAGGGGCUUAUUACAAAGGGCACUGCUUAAGCCCGGUUUACAUCAUAAAGACCGAAUACCUUAGGGAGUGUUUGAAGGAAAUAUGACCUAGAGGCAAUAAUAAAGUUAUUGUUUAUUUCCUUAUAUCAUGAUAAAUGUUUAUCAUUCAUGCUAGAUUUGUAUUAACUGGAAACAUAAUACAUGUGUGAAUACAUAGACAAACAGAGUGACACUAGUAUGCCUCUACUUGACUAGCUCGUUGAUCAAAGAUGGUUAUGUUUCCUAACCAUAGACAUGAGUUGUCAUUUGAUUAACAGGAUCACAUCAUUAGGAGAAUGAUGUGAUUGACUUGACCCAUUCCGUUAGCAUAGCACUUGAUCGUUUAGUUUGUUGCUAUUGCUUUCUUCAUAACUUAUACAUGUUUCUAUGACUAUGAGAUUAUGCAACUCCCGUUUACUGGAGGAACACUUUGUGUGCUACCAAACGUCACAACAUAAUUGGGUGAUUAUAAAGGUGCUCUACAGGUGUCUCCGAAGGUACUUGUUGGGUUGGCGUAUUUCGAGAUUAGGAUUUGUCACUCCGAUUGUCGGAGAGGUAUCUCUAGGCCCACUCGGUAAUGCACAUCACUAUAAGCCUUGCAAGCAUUGCAACUAAUGAGUUAGUUGCAGGAUGAUGUGUUACGGAACGAGUAAAGAGACUUGCCGGUAAUGAGAUUGAACUAGGUAUUGAGAUACCAACGAUCGAAUCUCGGGCAAGUAACAUACCGAUGGCAAAGGGAACAACGUAUGUUGUUAUGCGGUUUGACCAAUAAAGAUCUUCGUAGAAUAUGUGGGAGCCAAUAUGAGCAUCCAGGUUCCGCUAUUGGUUAUUGGCCGGAGACGUGUCUCGGUCAUGUCUACAUUGUUCUCGAACCCGUAGGGUCCGCACGCUUAAGGUUUCAAUGACAGUUAUAUUAUGAGUUUAUGAGUUUUGAUGUACCGAAGGAGUUCGGAGUCUCGGAUGAGAUCGGGGACAUGACGAGGAGUCUCUAAAUGGUCGAGACGUAAAGAUCGAUAUAUUGGACGACUAUAUUCGAACAUCUUAAAGGUUCCGAGUGAUUCGGGUAUUUUUCGAAGUACCGGAGAGUUACGGGAAUUCGCCGGGGAGUAUAUGGGCCUUAUUGGGCCAUGCGGGAAUAGAGGAGAGAGGCCAAAAGGAAGGAGGCGCGCGCCCCCCCUCUGGUCCGAAUUGGACAAGGGGUGCAGCCCCCUUUUCCUUGUUCCUCUCCCCUGUUGGAAAUAUGCCCUAGAGGCAAUAAUAAAUUAGUUAUUAUUAUAUUUCCUUGUUCAUGAUAAUCGUUUAUUAUCCAUGCUAGAAUUGUAUUGAUAGGAAACUUAGAUACAUGUGUGGAUACAUAGACAACACCAUGUCCCUUGUAAGCCUCUAGUUGACUAGCUCGUUGAUCAAUAGAUGGUUACUGUUUCCUGACCAUGGCAUUGGAUGUCGUUGAUAAGGGGAUCACAUCAUUAGGAGAAUGAUGUGGUGGACAAGACCCAAUCCUAAGCCUAGCACAAGAUCGUGUAGUUCGUAUGCUAAAGCUUUCCUAAUGUCAAGUAUCAUUUCCUUAGACCAUGAGAUUGUGCAACUCCCAGAUACCGUAGGAAUGCUUUGGGUGCACCAAACGUCACAACGUAAUUGGGUGGCUAUAAAGGUGCACUGCAGGUAUCUCCGAAAGUGUCUCUUGGGUUGGCACGAAUCGAGACUGGGAUUUGUCACUCCGUGUAACGGAGAGGUAUCUCUGGGACCACUCGGUAGGACAUCAUCAUAAUGUGCACAAUGUGACCAAGGAGUUGAUCACGGGAUGAUGUGUUACAGAACGAGUAAAGAGACUUGCCGGUAACGAGAUUGAACGAGGUAUCGGGAUACCGACGAUCGAAUCUCGGGCAAGUAUCGUACCGAUAGACAAAGGGAAUUGUAUACGGGAUUGAUUAAAUCCUCGACAUCGUGGUUCAUCCGAUGAGAUCAUCGUGGAACAUGUGGGAGCCAACAUGGGUAUCCAGAUCCCGUUGUUGGUUAUUGACUGGAGAGUCGUCUCAGUCAUGUCUGCGUGUCUCCCGAACCCGUAGGGUCUACACACUUAAGGUUCGGUGACGCUAGGGUUGUAGAGAUAUUAGUAUGUGGUAACCCGAAAGUUGUUCGGAGUCCCAGAUGAGAUCCCGGACGUCACGAGGAGUUCCGGAAUGGUCCGAAGGUGAAGAAUUGUAUAUAGGAAGUCCAGUUUCAGCCACCGGGAAAGUUUCGGGGGAAACCCUAGGGGUGGGGGGCGCCCCACCUGACUUGGGGGGCAAGUCCCCCCUUGGUCGCCGCCCCCCUUGGAGAUGGAUCUCCUAGGGCCGGCGCCCCCGCCCCCCUAGGGGCCCUAUAUAUAGUGGAGGGGAGGGAGGGCAGCCGCACCCAAGUCCCUGGUGCCUCCCUCUCCCUCCGUGACACCACUCCCUCUCGUUGGUGCUUGGCGAAGCGCUGCCGAGAUCCCGCUGCUUCCACCACCACGUCGUCGUGCUGCUAGAUCUCCAUCAACCUAUCCUCUCCCCUUGCUGGAUCAAGAAGGAGGAGACGUCUCUCCGUUCCGUACGUGUGUUGAACGUGAAGGUGCCGUUCGUUCGGCGCUAGGAUCAUCGGUGAUUUGGAUCACGACGAGUAUGACUCCAUCAACCCCGUUCUCUUGAACGCUUCCGCUUAGCGAUCUUCAACGGUAUGAAGAUGCACUCCCUCUCUCUCGUUGCUAGUAUCUCCUAGAUUGAUCUUGGUGACACGUAGGAAAAUUUUGAAUUAUUGCUACGUUCCCCAACAUCCCCCUCUUUCCUUCUCUCCUACUCCAACAAGGGAAGGAGGAGUCCUACUCCCAGUGGGAGUAGGACUCCCCCCUUGGCGCGCCCUCCUCCUAGGCCGGCCGCCUCCCCCCUUGCUCCUUUAUAUACGGGGGCAGGGGGCACCCCAUAGAGACAACAAUUGAUCAUUGAUCUCUUAGCCGUGUGCGGUGCCCCCCUCCACCAUAAUCCUCGAUAAUAUUGUAGCGGUGCUUAGGCGAAGCCCUGCGACAGUAGAACAUCAAGAUCAUCACCACGCCGUAAUGCUGACGUAACUCUUCCCCGACAUUCUGCUGGAUCGGAGUCCGGGGAUCGUCAUCGAGCUUAAAGUGUGCUAGAACUCGGAGGUGCCGUAGUUUCGGUGCUUGAUCGGUCGGGCCGUGAAGACGUACGACUACAUCAACCGUGUUGUGCUAAUGCUUCCGCUUUCGGUCUAUGAGGGUACGUAGACAACACUCUCCUCUCUCGUUGCUAUGCAUCACCAUGAUCUUGCGUGUGCGUAGGAAAUUUUUGAAAUUACUACGUUCCCCAACAGUGGUAUCAAAGCCUAGGUUUUAUGCAUUGAUGUUGUGCACGAGUAGAACACAAGUGAGUUGUGGGCGAUAUAAGUCAUACUGCUUACCAGCAUGCCAUACUUUGGUUCGGCAGUAUUGUUGGAUGAAGUGGCCCGGACCGACAUUACGCGUACACUUACGCGAGACUGGUUCUACCGACGUGCUUUGCACACAGGUGGCUGGCGGGUGUCAGUUUCUCCAACUUUAGUUGAACCGAGUGUGGCUAUGCCCGGUCCUUGUGAAGGUUAAAAUAGCACCAACUUGACAAACUAUCGUUGUGGUUUUGAUGCGUAGGUAAGAACGGUUCUUCUCAGCCCGUAGCAGCCACGUAAAACCUGCAACAACAAAGUAGAGGGCGUCUAACUUGUUUUUGCAGGGCAUGUUGUGAUGUGAUAUGGUCAAGACGUGAUGAGAUAUAAGUUGUUGUAUGAGAUGAUCAUGUUUUGUUAAAGUUAUCGGCAACCGGCAAAAGCCUUAUGGUUAUCUCUCUAUUGCAUAAGAUGCAAGCGCCAAAUAAUUGCUUUACUUUAUCGCUAUGCAAUAGCAAUAGUUGCAAGAGCAAUUGUUGGUGAGACAACCAUGUGACGACACAUUGAUAUAGAUCAAGAUGAUCGAGAUCAUGGUGUCAUGCCGGUGACGAUGGAGAUCAUGACGAUGCUUUGGAGAUGGAGAUCAAAGGCACAAGAUGAUGAUGGCCAUAUCAUGUCACAUAUUAUGAUUGCAUGUGAUGUUUAUCUUUUAUACAUCUUAUUUUUCUUAGUUCGGCGGUAGCUUUAUAAGAUAAUCUCUCGCUAAAUUAUCAAGGUAUAAGUGUUCUCCCUGAGUAUGCACCAUUGCGAAAGUUCUUCGUGCUGAGACACCACGUGAUGAUCGGAUGUGAUAGGCUCUAUGUUCAAAUACAACGGGUGCAAAACAGUUGCACACGCGGAAUACUCAGGUUAAACUUGACGAGCCUAGCAUAUAACAGAUAUGGCCCCGGAACACGGAGACCGAAAGGUCGAGCGUGAAUCAUAUAGUAGAUAUGAUCAACAUAGUGAUGUUCACCAUUGAAACUACUCCAUCUCACGUGAUGAUCGGACAUGGUUUAGUUGAUAUGGAUCAUGUGAUCACUUAGAAGAUUAGAGGGAUGUUUGUCUAAGUGGGAGUUCUUAAGUAAUAUGAUUAAUUGAACUUUAAUUUAUCAUGAACUUAGUCCUGGUAGUAUUAGCAUAUCUAUGUUGUAGAUCAAUAGCUCGCGUUUAGCUCCCCUGUUUUAUUUUUGAUAUGUUCCUAGAGAAAACUAAGUUGAAAAAUAUUAGUAGCAAUGAUGCGGAUUGGAUCCGUGAUCUGAGGUUUAUCCUCAUUGCUGCACAGAAGAAUUAUGUCCUUGAUGCACCGCUAGGUGACAAACCUAUUGCAGGAGCAGAUGCAAAUGUUAUGAACGUUUGGCUAGCUCAAUAUGAUGACUACUCAAUAGUUUAGUGCACCAUGCUUAAACGGCUUAGAAUCGGGACUUCAAAGACGUUUUGAAUGUCAUGGACCAUAUGAGAUGUUCCAGGAGUUGAAGUUAAUAUUUCAAGCAAAUACCCGAGUUGAGAGAUAUGAAGUCUCCAACAAGUUCUAUAGCUAAAAGAUGGAGGAGAAUAGCUCAAUCAGUGAGCAUGUGCUCAAAUUGUCUGGGUACUACAAUCGCUUGAAUCAAGUGGGAGUUAAUCUUCCAGAUAAAAUAGUGAUUGACAGAAUUCUCUAGUCACCAUCACCAAGUUAGCAGAACUUCGUGAUGAACUAUAAUAUGCAAGGGAUAAUGGAAACGAUUCCCGAGCUUUUCAUGAUGAUGCAAUGGAUGAAGGUAGAAAUCAAGAAAGAGCAUCAAGUGUUUAUGAUUAACAAGACCACUAGUUUCAAGAAAAGAGCAAAGGGAAAGAAAGGGAACUUCAAGAAGAACGGCAAGCAAGUUGCUGCUCAAGUGAAGAAGCCCAAGUCUGGUCCUAAGCCUGAGACUAAGUGCUUCUACUGCAAAGGGACUGGUCACUGGAAGCGGAACUGCCCCAAGUAUUUUGCGGAUAAGAAGGAUGGCAAAGUGAACAAAGGUAUAUUUGAUAUACAGAUUAUUGAUGUGUAUUUUACUAGUGUUCUAGCAACCCCUCGGUAUUUGAUACUGGUUCAGUUGCUAAGAGUAGUAACUCGAAACGGGAGUUGCAGAAUGAACAGAGACUAGUUAAGGAUGAAGUGACGAUGUGUGUUGGAAGUGGUUCCAAGAUUGAUAUGAUCAUCAUCGCACACUCCCUAUACUUUCGGGAUUAGUGUUGAACCUAAAUAAGUGUUAUUUGGUGUUUGCGUUGAGCAUGAAUAUGAUUUUAUCAUGUUUAUUGCAAUACAGUUAUUCAUUUAAGUAACAGAAUAAAUUGUUGUUCUGUUUACAUGAAUAAAACCUUCUAUGGUCAUACACCCAAUGAAAAUGGUUCGUUGGAUCUCAAUCGUAGUGAUACACAUAUUCAUAAUAUUGAAACCAAAAAAAUGCAAAGUUAAUAAUGAUAGUGCAACUUAUUUGUGGCACUGCCGUUUAGGUCAUAUUGGUGUAAAGCGCAUGAAGAAACUCUAUGCUGAUGGACUUUUGGAAUCACUUGAUUAUGAAUCAGUUGAUGCUUGCGAACCAUGCCUCAUGGGCAAGAUGACUAAGACUCUGUUCUCCGGAACAAUGCAGCAAGCAACAGAUUUGUUGGAAAUCAUGCAUACUGAUGUAUGUGGUCCGAUGAAUAUUGAAGCUCGCGGCAGGUAUCAUUAUUUUCUGAUCUUCACAGAUGAUUUGAGCAGAUAUGAGUAUAUCUACUUGAUGAAACACAAGUCUGAAACAUUUGAAAAGUUCAAAGAAUUUCAGAGUGAAGUGGAGAAUCAUCGUAACAAAAUAAAAGUUUCUACGAUAUGAUCGCAGAAGUAAAAUAUUUGAGUUACGAGUUUGGCCUUCAGUUAAAACAAUGUGAAAUAGAACACCACAGUGUAAUGGUGUGUCCGAACGUCGUAACCGUACUUUAUUAGAUAUGGUGUGAUCUAUGACGUCUCUUACUGAUUUACCGCUAUCGUUUUGGGGUUAUGCAUUAGAGACAGCUACAUUCACGUUAAAUAGGGCACCAUCUAAAUUCGUGGAGAUGACACCGUAUGAACUGUGGUUUGGCGAGAAACCUAAGUUGUCGUUUCUUAAAGUUUGGGACUGCGAUGCUUAUGUGACAAAGUUUCAACAUGAUAAGCUCGAACCCAAAUCGGAGAAGUAAAUCUUCAUAGGAUACCCAAAAGAAACUGUUGGGUACACCUUCUAUCACAGAUCCGAAGGCAAGUUAUUCGUUGCUGAGAAUGGAUCCUUUCUAGAGAAGGAGUUUCUCUCAAAAGAAGUGAGUGGGAGGAAAGUAGAGCUUGAUGAGGUAACUGUACCUGCUCCCUUAUUGGAAAGUAGUUCAUCACAGAAAUCUGUUCUAGUGACUACUACACCAAUUAGUGGGGAAGCUAAUGAUGAUGAUCAUGUAACUUCAGAUCAAGUUACUACCGAACUUUGUAGGUAAACCAGAGUGAAAUCCGCACCAGAGUGGUACGGUAAUCCUGUUCUGGAGGUCAUGUUACUUGACCAUGACGAGCCUACAAACUAUGAGGGAGCGAUGAUGAGCCCAGAUUCCGCGAAAUGGCUUGAGGCCAUGAAAUCUGAGAUGAGAUCCAUGUAUGAGAAUAAAGUAUGGACUUUGAUUGACUUGCCCAUUGAUCAGCGAGCCAUUGAGAUUAAAUGGAUCUUCAAGAGGAAGACGGACGCUGAUAGUAGUGUUACUAUCUACAAUGCUAGAAUUGUCGCAAAAAGGUUUUUGACAAGUUCAAGGUGUUGACUACGAUGAGAGUUUCUCACUCGUAUCUAUGCUUAAGUCUGUCCAAAUCAUAUUAGCAAUUGCCGCAUUUUAUGAAAUCUGGCAAAUGGAUAAACAAAACUGCAUUCCUUCAUGGAUUUAUUAAAGAAGAGUUGUAUAUGAUGCAACCAGAAGGGUUUGUCAAUCCUAAAGGUACUAACAAAAUAUGCAAGCUCCAGCGAUCCAUCUAUGGACUGGUGCAAACAUCUCGGAGUUGGAAUAUACGCUUUGAUAAGUUGAUCAAAGCAUAUAGUUUUAUACAGAUUUGCGGUGAAGCCUGUAUUUACAAGAAAGUGAGUGGGAGCACUACUGCAUUUCUGAUAAGUAUAUGUGAAUGACAUAUUGUUGAUCGGAGAUAAUGUAGAAUUAUUCUGCAAAGCAUAAAGGAAUGUUUGAAAGGAGUUUUUCAAAGAAAGACCUCGGUGAAGUUGCUUACAUAUUGAGCAUCAAGAUCUAUAGAGAUAGAUCAAGACGCUUGAUAAGUUUUUCAAUGAGUACAUACCUUGACAAGAUUUUGAAGUAGUUCAAAAUGGAACAUUCAAAGAAGGAGUUCUUGCCUGUGUUACAAGGUGUGAAGUUGAGUAAGACUCAAAACCCGACCACGGCAGAAGAUAGAAAGAGAAUGAAAGUCAUUCCCUAUGCCUCAGCCGUAGGUUCUAUAAAGUAUGUCAUGUUGUGUACCAGACCUAUUGUAUACCCAACCCUGAGUUUGGCAAAGGAGUACAAUAGUGAUCUAGGAGUAGAUCACUGGACAUUGGUCAAAAUUAUCCUUAGUGGAAUAAGGAUAUGUUUCUCGAUUAUGGAAGUGACAAAAGGUUUGUCGUAAAGGGUUACGUCGAUGCAAAUUUUGACACUGAUCCAGAUGACUCUAAAUCUCAAUCUAGAUACAUAUUGAAAGUGGGAGCAAUUAGCUAGAGUAGCUCUGUGCAGAGCAUUGUUGACAUAGAAAUUUGCAAAAUACUUACGGAUCUGAAUGUGGCAGACCCGUUGACUAAACUUCUCUCACAAGCAAAACAUGAUCACACCUUAGUACUUUUUGGGUGUUAAUCACAUAGCGAUGUGAACUAGAUUAUUGACUUUAGUAAACCCUUUGGGUGUUGGUCACAUGUCGAUGCGAACUAUGGGUGUUAAUCACAUGGUGAUGUGAACUAUUGAUAUUAAAUCACAUGGUGAUGUGAACUAGAUUAUUGACUCUAGUGCAAGUGGGAGACUGAAGGAAAUAUGCCCUAGAGGCAAUAAUAAAGUUAUUAUUUAUUUCCUUAUAUCAUGAUAAAUGUUUAUUAUUCAUGCUAGAAUUGUAUUAACCGGAAACAUAAUACAUGUGUGAAUACAUAGACAAACAAAGUGUCACUAGUAUGCCUCUACUUGACUAGCUCGUUGAUCAAAGAUGGUUAUGUUUCCUAACCAUAGACAUGAGUUGUCAUUUGAUUAACGGGAUCACAUCAUUAGGAGAAUGAUGUGAUUGACUUGACCCAUUCCGUUAGCAUAGCACUUGAUCGUUUAGUUUGUUGCUAUUGCUUUCUUCAUGACUUAUACAUGUUCCUAUGACUAUGAGAUUAUGCAACUCCCAUUUACCGUAGGAACACUUUGUGUGCUACCAAACGUCACAACGUAACUGGGUGAUUAUAAAGGUGCUCUACAGGUGUCUCCGAAGGUACUUGUUGGGUUGGCGUAUUUCGAGAUUAGGAUUUGUCACUCCGAUUGUCGGAGAGGUAUCUCUGGGCCCACUCGGUAAUGCACAUCACUAUAAGCCUUGCAAGCAUUGCAACUAAUGAGUUAGUUGCGGGAUGAUGUGUUACGGAACGAGUAAAGAGACUUUCCGGUAAUGAGAUUGAACUAGGUAUUGAGAUACCAACGAUCGAAUCUCGGGCAAGUAACAUACCGAUGGCAAAGGGAACAACGUAUUUUGUUAUGCGGUUUGACCGAUAAAGAUCUUCGUAGAAUAUGUGGGAGCCAAUACGAGCAUCCAGGUUCGGCUAUUGGUUAUUGGCCGGAGACGUGUCUCGGUCAUGUCUACAUUGUUCUCGAACCCAUAGGGUCCGCACGCUUAAGGUUUCGAUGAUAGUUAUAUUAUGAGUUUUGAUGUACCGAAGGAGUUCGGAGUUUCGGAUGAGAUCGGGAACAUGACGAGGAGUCUCUAAAUGGUUGAGACGUAAAGAUCGAUAUAUUGGACGACUAUAUUCGGACAUCGGAAAGGUUCCAAGUGAUUCAUGUAUUUUUCGGAGUACCGGAGAGUUACGGGAAUUCGCCAGGGAGUAUAUGGGCCUUAUUGGGCCAUACGGGAAUAGAGGAGAGGGCCAAAAGNNNNNNNNNNNNNNNNNNNNNNNNNNNNNNNNNNNNNNNNNNNNNNNNNNNNNNNNNNNNNNNNNNNNNNNNNNNNNNNNNNNNNNNNNNNNNNNNNNNNNNNNNNNNNNNNNNNNNNNNNNNNNNNNNNNNNNNNNNNNNNNNNNNNNNNNNNNNNNNNNNNNNNNNNNNNNNNNNNNNNNNNNNNNNNNNNNNNNNNNNNNNNNNNNNNNNNNNNNNNNNNNNCAAGGGGUGCAGCCCCCUUUUCCUUGUUCCUCUCCCCCUCUUUCAUUCUCUCCUGCUCCAACAAGGGAAGGAGGAGUCCUACUCCCGGUGGGAGUAGGACUCCCCCCUUGGUGCGCCCUCCUCCUAGGCUGGCCGCCUCCCUCCUUGCUCCUUUAUAUACGGGGGCAGGGGGCACCCCAUAGAGACAACAAUUGAUCAUUGAUCUCUUAGCUGUGUGCGGUGCCCCCCUCCACCAUAUUCCUCGAUAAUAUUGUAGCGGUGCUUAGGCGAAGCCCUGCGAUGGUAGAACAUCAAGAUCGUCACCAUGCCGUCGUGCUGACGGAACUCUUCCCCGACAUUUUGCUGGAUCGGAGUCCGGGGAUCGUCACCGAGCUAAACGUGUGCUAGAACUCGGAGGUGCCGUAGUUUCGGUGCUUGAUCGGUCGGGCCAUGAAGACAUACGACUACAUCAACCGCGUUGUGCUAACGCUUCUGCUUUCGGUCUACGAGGGUAUGUAGACAACACUCUCCUCUCUCGUUGCUAUGCAUCACCAUGAUCUUGCGUGUGCGUAGGAAAUUUUUGAAAUUACUACGUUCCCCAACAGUGUUCGGCAUCACGAGUUUGGCCUUAUAUGCAUCAGCUCUGAAUCAUGUCUUUGGUCAAAUGUUGGGUUUCCCCGGCUCCUUUGUUUUGCUGCCUUACGUUCCGCUCUAUCGGCUAAGGCGGCACCAGGAGAACUACUGCGAUUGUGCCCUGGUUCACCCAGACGAGCACCUCAGUAGAGAAAGCCGAAAACUGACUCAUGAUAUAGCGUGAGACUGGUCAACCACUCGAUGACCUAGCGGAAUCUUCGGGAUUCCUCCGCCUUAACAAAGGGUCGUUUCCCGGCCAGGCAUGUACGCGCCCCGAAUCCGGAUGAGCGCGGAGCCACCAAGGGCUAUAUAGUAGCCCCAUUGUCAAACUCCUCUGGCUAAGUGAAAGUGUUAAAGCAUUAUAGUCCGGUUGCCUAGUUCGCUGCGCUAUCACCUCCUUAAUGGACCAAGACGUUGGAUCAAGUGUGAACAUGCGUCUUCUGCGUACACCCCCGCAUUAUAUGCGUGGGGGCUGAAGCCGACGACUGCCAUCUUUCAGGUUAUAUACAUAUAUACAUAAACGGCCGGACAGGAGGCAUCAUAGCACUUUCGGGCAAAAGUAUAAAUACAGCCUUGAUAAAUUCAAUAAAACAUUGUUUUUACAAUGGGACUAUAUGUCACUGGAAAAUAAUAUUCUUCGAGCACUGAGCCUCUAUCGAACGAGCGCCUUCAAGGACUUCUUUAAAAUAGUGCUCGGCAGCCACUCGGCCUAUGACCGAACCCUGUGCCGCAACAGUGGUGGCCUCCAUCUCCGCCCAGUAUGUUUUAACACGGGCAAGGGCCAUCCGCGCACCUUCUAUGCACGUGAUCUCUUUACAGCAUCGAUGUGUGGCACAGCUUCAAGGAAUUGUUGCACUAAGCUAAAGUAGCUACUCGGCCUUGGCCCUCCCGGCCACAGGUGAUCCACAAUGGACCUCAUGGCAAGUCCGGACAACCUAUGGAGCUCGGCCCAACCGGUCAAUCGCUCAUUCAGCAGCAACGGACGGACUGGAGCGUGAAACUGUGACCAGAACAGCUUUUCCACUUCGGGACCUUUCUGAUCCUUGAAGUACUCGGCUGCAUCAGCAGCACUGGCAGCCAAAUCCAUGUACGCAUCCGCAGAACUCCAUAGCCGGUCUAGAGGAGCAUACUUCGGAUCUCUGAACUUAGUCCGCAACAAGAAGGGCUUCCCAGACACGAUAUCUGCAGCUUGAUUCAGCUCCUCCUUCGUCGCUAUAAUUUCGGAGCGGGCUUCCUUGGCAGCCACCCGGGCCUUCUCCAGGUCCAGGACUCCCUCACUCAUCAUGCCCUCCACGGUUGCAAGCAAAGUAAUCAACGCCGCAUCACGCUUGUCCUCCUUCUUGGAGUUGGUCUUCCCCCACGGCCGUGGCUUUUCACCCUCCCCAAGCUGCUCCAUGGCUUCCUCCCCCCCCCCCCACGCGACAUGAGGGUGGCAUAUUGCACCUUGAACUUCUCCUUCCCCUUGAUGACCAUCAACAAUGGGAGAGGUGGAAGGACUUGCCGUCAUGUUGGACCUUGAAUGCCUCCAAAGCUUGGAAUGCCUACAAAUGAAUAGCAUGCAAGCAUAUGGGCAAAUGGACAUGCAAGCAUAAAUUAAAAUGUAAACAGAUAUGAAGAGGGGCACAUGUAUACCAUAUCUUGCAUGCGAUGCCGCUCACGGGGCGUGCCUUGAUGGUCUCAAGGGUGGCACAAAACUUGUUGCACUCUUGUUGUAUCACCCUCCAUCGCUUCGAGAGGGACACCCACCCAUGCUUUCUUUGCAUUUGGUAUGGCGCAAACUUCUCGCGUUCAUGGUACUCGUGAUGCACACGAAUCCAAAAGGUUGAUGCCUUUUGUUCGGCGUCGACCUUGGAGUCUUGCCCAAUACCCCUCCAACACUCACAAAGGAGCUUGUCCUCGGACGGGGUGUAUGCCUUUGUCCACUUGCUUUUGCGCUUCGGCUUCGUGCCGGCUUGGUUGAGGAGCUCGUCCUCGAACAAAGGCUCUCGGUCGAUGUCCAUAUCAUCCUCUUCCUCGAGGUUGUAGUCCUCUGGGAACCCGUGGUCGAGCGGGAAGCUGCCCAGACCGACAUGAUCUUGCAUGAACGCGUCCUCCGUGCCAGCUUCAUCAUAGCUCGACGGCGUGAAUGGCGCUCAGUCGUCAUGGCUUUGGGCCUCCUCGGGAUCGUAGGCAGCUGCAGUGGCACCGCCAACGGAGGCAGCGGCCGCUGCACCACCUUCGAAGAUGAUGUUCUCCAUGAUGAAAUGGCUAGUCGUUUCGUCCUCGCCGGCCGCCGCCAUUCUGUCGAACAGGUUGUGUGCACCAGGGAUCAUGUCGGCUGGCAUCUCCCGCGAGUGUUUCCUCGCUCCUCUAGAGGAUGAUGAACUGGCCACCGACGUGGCGUUGAGAUCAAUGGCCACGGGCGCAGGCGUGGAUGGCGCCACCAUGCUCACCUCCGGCGAGCAUUCCCAAGAGAAGUGGGAAGCUUGCAGAUAGACAUGGAAGCCGGGAAUCGGCUGCGUGGCAGACGUGCGCGGCGAUUCUAGCAGCACCAUGGGAGGAAACGUUGACGAGCCCGUGCUGGUCGCGGCCACGGCGGCGCUGAUGAUCCCGUUUUGGACAGAGUUCAACCCUAGGUACAUCAGGCCUCCCUCAUUGCGGCGGCGACUCGGGCACUGGUUUCCUCCUACUGUGCGGCUGCGGAGAGGGCGGUGACGGCCGCCGCUUCGUCCCUUGCGUCUGCCACAUGCCUCUGGUCCGUUCGCUUUGCCGACUGCACGACCCGCUCCGCGUCAGCUUCUUCUUCUUCUUGGGUGGCGUCGCGGUCUUGCGGGGCACAGGCGAGGCCGGCGGCGGCAUCAAGGGUCGGCGCGUCAUCGACCAUGGCUGGGAGCGCGAGCGGGCGGGGGCGUUUUGGGAAAGUGGAGGGAAAUGGUGGUCGAUGUGCCAUCGACUGGCGGGCCAGGGGAAGGAGUAGGCGUGUGUCACAUGCGUCCGUUUCGUGUUCGCGCCGACGCAAAUGAGGCUCAAAUUUAGGCCAGCAAUGGAUCGGCGGGCGGACGAAAAGCGGACGCGCGUCCGUUUGGGUCGGCUUGUUGGGACGACUUUCUGUCCGUGACAACCCAAACGGACGCGCGCGGAUGAAAUAGGUCGGCGCGUUGGAAUUUCUCUAAGGGACUAAAACCUGAGUGUACAGUUAGCAAACAUAUUAGUCCUUAUCAAUGUCGAAAUCUGAAUAUGUUGACUAAAACCUGAAUGUACUAGAAAAUGUUGACUACUAAAACCUGAAUGACAUUUGACAAUGAAGGAGAUGCUGUGCAUUUUAGCACAUCGAGGAAGUUAUUCGGUUCCGCCAAGUUAAGAGUACAUUUUACAUAACUUGACGAGCUGCCCGAUGAGAUUCCAAGCUUGUAUUUUUUGCACAUAUGAUGUUUCUUCAUGGAUCUCCAUGGUAGUGUCGUGAAAUCCUUUUGAUGUUGCCUAUUCUCUUUGAGAUAUCACCACAAAGGUGAUUAGCAACCACUAGUGUUAUUGUGUUAGACCUUGACACAGCAUCCAAACCUUCACAAACUUUCCGAAGGAAAAUCACAAGUUGAUCCCUCAUAGGUCCAUCUCGGUCAUUUCACCCCCAACCCAUUCAUAGGUUCCAAAUUAUUGCAAAUCCAAACAAAAAGACCUCGGAGGGUCCGUAGGAAACAUGCUCGACGACUUUGAAUGAACUAUCGUGAACCUAUCCUAGAAGGCUCUGAAUGAAUGGAACAUAAGGUUUUGUAAAAUUCACUUAUCCCAAGUUGAAGGUUCCGACCACUCACCAUUCGGAUGGUACGAAUUAUAUUGGGACCUAGGGAUGUCGCUAGUGAUCAAUAUUGAGAUGUUUGGGUGGAUGUGUCUGUAGUGUCCAAUUUCAUUGAAACCAAACUUCACUAGCUCAAGGGUCUUGGAAGAAUUCACUUGGAGGAACCGAAUGAGAGUAGGACCUUCUUUGGCAUCAUGUAAUGCAUGAACCACCAGAUCGAAGGGUCUGAACAACACUCAAAGUAACUCGAACACUCUUUAAAGGACUCGAGGUUCCAAAAAUAGUGCACUCGAAGGCUUGGGGCAUGAAAAGAGAAGAGGAUAUGGGUGGAAGAGUGAGGGGUUUUGUGCGAGUUUUGAAAGUCUGAGUUUGAGCACUUAGCAAGAAAUAACUUCUUCUCACAAAGUCCAAUAUCCCAUGGUUUCUUUUAAGGAUGGGCAUAAAAACCGACAAACCAAAGACCGAAUCAACCCUGAAACUGAAAAAACCGAAAGUUUGGUUUUUAUUGUUCCUACAGAAAAAUUUGGUUUUUAGCUAUGUUUUUUUUUUUUGAUAACCGAACUAAAUUCCUUCGGUUCGGUAUUAGCACAGUUAACCGAACAGGAAACCGAACAUUGAUGGGGGACACGUGAAUCUGCAGCGAUGCUCCCGCGCUAUGCAGCCUCCAGAAAGCUUGCGGUCACGAUAAAAAGAUUCCAUGGACCAAACCGCUUGCCUGCAUGCAGGCCCAAACUUACAAGCAAUUAUGGACUUAUGGGCUUUUUUUUCACGUGUGACGCUGAUGUAGUACACAGCGCUGCAGUUUGAUCGUUUAGUGCCGCCUCGGCCAGCCGCACACAAAGAGGUGUAUAGCUAGGCUAUCAGUGCAGGUAGAAACGCAGGGAGGCACGCAGCCUAUUCUUUGGCACAUUCAGCAAAUACGGUAUAAACCGAUUACCGAACCGAAAAGCUCGGUUGGUUAACCGAACUUUUGGUUAGCUCCUUUUAGAAGCUAUUUUCGGUUUUUAUCUUUGCUAGCUGAAUUUAUAAAAUAAUCUUAUCGAUCCUUUCUCACAGUUUUUGAGGGGUCAAGAACAUCUCUACCAACUAGGUGGGCUAGAAAUGAUCAAUACUUGAGUAAAAUGUUUGUCCAUCAAUCUUGUCUUGAAUCGUCAAAACGUAGUAUGGGGGCCUAGAUGCACUUUCAACCUUUAUUAUACGAGGUAUUAUUUUGUAGAUGUAUUAGUUUUGUCUUGUAUAUAUGCGACAAUACAUACACAAAUAUAUAAGUACACUCUUUGUACAAACUGUAGAUCUUCAAAGCGUUGAACAAAACCAAACUAAGAUUACCUCAGAUGGUUAGGUUUCACUAGUGCUCCCAUUUUUCUGGAUUUAUUUCAGGCUUUCUGACAAUGUUCGUUUGGUCGGAGGAGAUGUUCCCGUCGACUACGAGAGAUCUGUGGUGACUUCGUCAAUCCCACAAGGUAGGCUCGGUAUCUCAAAGGUGCUCACAGAGGUUGUGCAUGUGCAUUCAUAGGGGUUGUACUGUGUUAAAUACAAGUAUUGAACGAAAAAUUUGAAAAUUGACAUUACUACUCAUUUUGUUUCAAUCCAAACACCGAAAAUAAUGGAAUUGAUCACCAAUUAUAUUGCUUGAGGAACUGGAAUUGGUAAACAGAUCCUAGGUAUAAUUUUAAUUAACAACUGUAUACUCAUCCUCUAUAGUCAAAAACCGCCAGCGCUAUAUCUAGCAUUCAGCGAGAUAGUAGAAAACCUCGCUGAAGCGUCUACAGUAGUUGGGUCGGCCCAUCCGCACACAUUAAAGGAAAAAGAGAAUGAAAAAGAAGGAGAAUACGGCUUCUAGUUAGUGAUUAGUAGUAGGGGCACGACCUACUCGAGGCGAUUGGAGCCGGUUUCCUCCCCUUUUUUCUGUUUUCUUUUGUUUCUUUUCUUUUUCCUUCUCUAUUUUUCAUUCUUUUUUCUUCUACGUCAGCUUACAUACAUAGUAUUAAUACCAUAUUCUUUUUCUUCUCCGAUUUUUUCAUUCUUUUAGCAUUUUUUUGUUUUCUAUUUAUGUUUUUUUUUAUUUUUAUUUUCUUCUUUGGUUUUUUUAUCAUUCUUUUUGCAUUUGUUUCUUUGAUUUUAUUUUUUGGUUUACUUUGUUUCAUUUUUGUUUAUUUUUUGUUUUUCCUUGUUUCUUUUGGUUUUCAUUCUACAUUUUUUGUAUAUGUCAGCAACAUUUUUCUAAGAACGUUUUACAUUUUUCCAAUGCAAAUAUUUUUUAAAAUACAUGGUCAACCGGUUCUCUUUGCAUAUUUUUAACAUUUUUCAAAUACUUGAUUAACAUUUCUAAGACCAGAUAAACAUUUUAUGAAUAGAUGGUCAACAUUUUUUCUCUACAAACUUUUAAACUUUUUCAAAUACAAGAUUUACAUUUUCUAGUACAUGGUCAACAUUUUUUCUAUGCAAAUUUAACAUUUUUUUCGAAUGCUUGAUUAACAUUUUUUAACACAUGGACAACAUUUUUUCUAAAUACAUUUAACAUUUUUCAAAUGCUUGAUUAACAUUUUUCGAAUACUUGUUCAACAUUUUUCAAAUGCUUGAUUAAUAUUUUUAUAUGCCUAUAAUUAGCAUUUCGGGAAAUUCCCAAGCGAACAAUUUCAUUUCCAAAUGCUUGCUUCACAUUUUUUCAAACACAUUUUCAACAUUUUUUAAAAUGCUUGAUUCACUUUUUUUAAACACAUGAUCAAAUUGUUUCAUACCCAUUUUAUUUAUUUCUUGUAUACAUUUUUGAUAUACAUGAUAUACAUUAUCUCUAUACACAUUUAACAUUUUUCAAAUGUUUGAUCGACAUUUUCAAACGUUUUGUGUAGAGUCAUUUUUGUAAUUUAUUUAUUCAGAAUAUUGGGAAGUACAAACAGAAGUAAACAAAAAACAAAAACGUGAAAGAAAAAUAGAAAAUGAGUGAUGUUGUUUCUCAUGCGCCUGGGUCGGCCCAAUUCACGGCACCCUUCAGCGAGGUUUCCUCUAUCUCGGUGAGCCCAGAUAGGUUCCUAACGUCACCACCGUUGCUUGCUUGCCAUAGCAAGUCUAAGAAUCAUGUUUCAAAUGGGAUUUGUGUCAUAAUGCAUCGUCAAUGGAAGAAACACGGGAGGAUUAGGGCAUGAUUGAGCGAAGACAGGAGAGAAGGUACGAUAGAAAGGGGAGCAAGAAUGACCUCGCAACCCCAUGGUACUUAGUGGCACGUAAGAUGACUCGGAUGUGCAGACCACAGUUUCACAACAUUAUGAUGUUAAUGUUUGUGUUCCCAGAUUUUCGAAUUCACGGUUGCAUAUUGCUCUGAUGAUUCACGCAGACCUGUUGUUGUAGCAUCUUUGUUUCUUGCCUCGAACAUGCCAUCAUAUUAACUCUGCUCAUGCAUAUGUCCAGUUUUUCACCAAGUCCUAAUCUGUAACAGAACAUUGCAUUUUGCAUGGAUCGUAGCAAAUUAACCAUGAUGCUUAGAAACCUGAACCGUAAAAAUGAAUUGAAGUAUGUUAUUUAUACUUUAAGUGAAUAUCAAAUUGGUGCCCAUCUUGUUCCAGUAGCAUCAUGUUUUGUUGCUUCCAAGUAGGUAUCAUGCUGUUUGGGGCAGAUUGCUAUUUAAACUUGCCUUGUGUGUAUUUGUUGAACCGUUGCUCCGUUUUGAUCAUGUCCUAUAUGAAACUUGUUUAGAAUUGCAUGUAGUUUCAUAUUUUUUUGUUGCAUCCAUAUUUUGGAGUGUUUAUGAUUGUGUUUUGAUUGCUUUUGCAUCAAUGUCAUGUUAACUUGUUUAGCUCAUAUUUUCUAGACCGUAGCUUCGAAUUAAAUGAUCUACAUAUGUAACUUGACUAGAAAAACAUGUAGAUUACCAUGGUGCAUUUUAACUUGAUGUUUAACAAAUUUAACAUUGUGUUUAAUUCAGAUCAGUACCAAAUUCGAAAUUUGCAUGGGGAAUUACCGGAAUUGUUAUGUGUUGUUUCCGGCAUCAUUUAAACUUGCUUUGAUGUGGGUUCUUUAUGCAUCAUCUCUUUCCACAAGUAACAACAUUUAACCUUGUCAUGCAUCAUACUUGGAUGUGCAUCAUGUCAUGUUUUCUGCUUGUUUGUCUACCAUGUUGUUUGCUUUUUUCCGGUUGUGCUUCUUGCCAAUAGCUCCGGUUACAAUGGGAUUGUGAGGAUUCGUUCGACUAUGUUGGUUCGUCUACUUGAUGGACUCAGUCUUCUUCUGAGCGGGAUUUCAAGCAAGAUGACCAUUACCUUGGAUAUCACUACUAUCUUUGCUUUGCUAGUUGUCUUGAUGCUAUCGCUAUGUCGCGCUACCUACCACUUGUUUGUCAAGCCUCUCAAAUUGCCAUGAUAAGCCUCUAACCUCCACUAUCCUAGCAAGCCAUUGUAUGGCUAUGUUAUCGCUUUGCUCAAUCCCUCUUAUAGCGUUGCUAGUUGCAGGUUGUUCCAUGUUGGGACAUGGAUAUCAUGGGAUAUCACAAUAUCUAUUAUUUAAUUAAUGCAUAUAUAUAUAUAUAAUUGGUAAAGGGUGGAAGGCUUGGCCUUUUGCUUGGUGUUUCGUUCCACUCUUGUCAUCCUAGUUCCCGUCGUACCAAUGUUAUGUUCCUUCACGAGCGCUCCCGACACAUGUGGGUGUAUGGGAACCCCUGACCAAUUGCUUAGGAAAGAACUCUUCCAGCAAAGCCUAACUUGGUUUUAAAAUUUGCCAACAUAAUAAUACUGAUAAUUAAUUAAUUAGCAUAGGGAGUUAGCGCUACCCGAGGAUUCUUAAUUCAACAUAAUAAAGGUGGGCCAUUGCUGAUGGUGUUGGUCCAAAACAGAGUCAUUUGCGACUUCCCCCGGGGCAACUCGGGUCUCAGUUGUUGAACGUUGCGUUCAUCCGGUCGUGCCCUGAGAAUGAGAUACGUGGAUCCUAUCGGGAUUGUUAGCACAUCGGGAGGUCUUGUUGGUUUAGUUUUACCUUUGACGAGAGGCAGGUCCAUCGGAAUUCCUUAUCGUAAGCAUCGUGUUCUUCAUGGUGUGAGGAUGUUACAUCGAAUGCGCGUGGUAAUUUAUAAUGGACCACUUGAAGCACCCCUGCAGGGUUAAAUCUUUUUGAGAGCCGUGCCCGUGGUUAUGUGACGACUUGGAAAUUUAUAAUAUCCGGAUGUAAAGAACUUGACACUAAACUCAAAAUAAAAUACACCAAUCGUGUGUGUAACCGUGAUCGUCUCUUUUCGAGGGAGUUCGGGAAGAAAACACGGUGGGGUUAUGAUUGACUCGUAGGUAGUUUAGGAUCACCUCUUGAUCAUACUAGUUUGCGACCGUUAUGCGUAAUUUACUCUUCCUACUCUUGUAGUCCUAAGUUAGCCACCAUACAAUGCUUAGUGCUUGCUGCAACCUCACCACUUAUCCAUUCCAUACCCAUUAGCUUUGCUAUCUUAAUACCCAUAGUAAUAGGAUUGCUGAGUCCUCGUGGCUCACAGAUUACUACAACAAUAGGUGCAGGUACAGGUAAUGUGAUGAUAUGACGUGAGAGCGAUGCUUGCUUGUUUUGGAGUUCUUCUUCUUCGAUCAAGGGAUGGGUUCCUGGUCGGCAGCCUGGGCUAGUAGGGUGGAUGUUGUUUAUGUUUUUUUGUUUAAUUUCAUUCAUAGUCGGAUGUUGCUCUUCUGUAUGAUGUUUGUUGUAUUCAUGUGGCGAUUGUAUGUCUUUGUAUGUAUUCCCAACUAUUAUGUACAUGGUACGAUGUAAUGAUAUCCACCUUGCAAAGCAUCUUCAAUAUGCGGCUCCAUCCUUGAUGGGACCUUCGAGUUCCUCUCAAGGAUAGGAUCACAUAUUGGGCGUGACAUAGGUUUUGUGAGGAAACGAGGCAGUCGAUAGACAGACAGUAAUAGGUUUUGUGUGGCUGGGGCUAAGGGUGCCAUCAAUGAUAAUUGUAAGUAAGUCAUAAGAUAGGUUCCACUCAUUGUGCUAUAACAAACUAGAAUCCCUAACAUGCUUAAUACCCAAUGGACCUUAGGUUGGAGCCCACAUGAAGAGAUCCUUAAAUCAUGUGAGAGAAGGAGAAAUAGUUAAUUAUUCCUUAUAUGGCUUGACCUUAGCACUAUGACCCGGUCAUAAGAUUUUGUUGCGAAUGUAUGUUUGAAUUGUGGCCUAUACCUACCAGAUAUUUUGAUCAAGACCCAAAAGUUGGCCUUUGUUUGGAUGGUUGCCAACCUUUUAGCAUGCUAUUGUACUCUAGCUAACUCUAGAUCAUUUUUCUUGCCAAUGUUAGCCAAAUCAUGUGCAACCAAAAUCUCAACUAAAAAUUUGGCUAGCAAUACUUUGGUGGGGCAACCUUAGAGCAUCUACAGCCUCCGUCACCUAAUUUGGCCCCCUAUACGCUCGUGAACGCACCUGGGCGCGUUCGCUAAAGAUGAUCGAGCGAACCUCAUUUCUCGUAUUCCAUAGUUGCAUCCCUCAUAUUUCCUACCCCAAAUCCAUACAAAUCCAUGCAAACGGUGUUCCUACGUAGAUCAACAUAGAACAUAGCAAUCCCGCAUAGAUAAACAUAGUGUGAUACAAAAGUGUCGCCCAAGUUCAUCACUUAACACUACUAAAAAGCAACUAAAACCGGGAAGGGGGGAUUUCUCCACUUCCUCCAUGCCGGACUCUUCCCCUUGGGGUCUCAGCAGCUAGACUCGGCGUAGGCAUCAGCGACUCCGGGCACGUCGUUGUUGUUGUCGCUAUCCAAAGCAGAGGAGGAUGAGUAGAUGAUGCCCACCAUGUGUCGGGCUUCGCGGUUCUGCUUAUCCCAGAGCCAUGAGUCUCUCUCCGUCGUCGUCGCCCGCUGCAUCGCCAACCGCUUUGACUCCUACAAGGCCACGCGGAGUGCCUUCGCAUCUUUGCGGCGAUGACAGCGGGCAUCUGUCUCUGCGGACAUGUGCGAGCGACAGAUGGUGGUGCGGAGGGCCUCGCCAUCGUCGUUGGCCGGGAGAAGUGGCUCCGGCACAGAUCUGCUCGAUCCGCCCUUUGAGCGGCUAGUAGCCACCUACGUCGCCCGCUUCUUUGCAAGGCAAUACGCGCGGCCCACAGACUCAGGUUGUGGUUCAACCGGCGAUAGCACGCAGCAGCGCCCCAGAGGGGCAGGUGCGGGUGGUGCUGGGUGGCGCCUGGCAGGGGGCGACAUGGACCACGUCGAACGAGUGCGGGGCAUCGCAGAGCUGCAGCUGCCCACUUGACCCAUUGUCGACGCCCCGGAAGAGGAGUCGUCGCCCGGUCUAGCAGCGACCGGUGGAGGGCAAUGCGGAGCGCUGGUUUGUCCUCGUCGGGCGUUGACGAGCCAUCGGAACCCACGGCGGCCUUGAGCCACUCUGGGAGGUCGGAUUCACUGUCGGACAUGGCAGGCGAGGGAAGACAAAGUGUAUUUGGGGAGUAGCAGAGAGGUCCAGUGAGUACGAACUGAGUUUGAAUACGGUUUGCUCGACGGUCGUCUGCUAUUUGUGGGGGGUGGAGUGGGGUCGUUGCGGGCCAGGCCGAAGUGGCGGACGCGCCCGGGUGUCCCAUAUCAGAUCUAUAUUCGGACCGAAUAUUAGAGGUGCCGGUUAGCUCGGACGUUUGAGGCUCGUUUGAGGAGCCCGUCUGGGUAAUUUUUUAUGACUGGUCACCGAACGGGCCGUCCGUCCAAGCGUUUGAGACGGGUUUGGGUCGCCUGGCACUAGAUGCUCUUAGACAUAAACCAAACACACUUGGGUCUCAAGGCAAUUUGGCUUAAGACCCAUGUUUUUGGUACAUUGGAGACACCCUAAGACCGUUCCAACCUUGAUUUGACAGCCACAAAUUUUCAUAGCGGCAAUUAGCAGGAGGCAACCACGUGGAUCCUCUAGAGGAGGAAGCAUGGCUUUAUGUUUCUAGCGAGCUUAGGGCGUCUUCACGGCAACCCGUAAAUUUUCUCCUACAUCCGUCCACGGAUAGGGGAUCAAUCCAUGAACAUGAAUGCGAAAGGCCACCAUCUAACCGUAGCCGCAUACAUUUUAAUAACAGUUCAAACCAACCGGAUAAAAUUUGUUCAAACACGGCUGGAUUUCAUAUAAACAUGUCGGAUUUUAUAUAAACAUGAUGGAUUUCAUUACAUUUACAUCAACUAAGUGCUGCUAGUCCGGCUCUAGAGGUAUAAUUGAUACCUAAUCUAAAUGGUCGCCGGCGACCGUUCCCGUGUCCGGCCAUGAGCCCGGAGAACUGAAGCUUCACCUUCUCCAGUUCCGCCUCUGGAACCCCGGGAACUGAAGUUGUCCGCCUUCACGUCGCCGCCAAGCGACUAAUAGGUCGACGAUGUUGAGCCCCCCAAGCUUGGUAUCGAUGGGAGGGGAGGAGCGGUGGCCUUCCUGAGACAUGAGCGGUGGCGACCUACCGUGCACUACUCUUCCUCGCUGCCGGCGACACCCGCGGACGUGUCGGCUUCAUGGUUGUGGCGUCAGGGCGCGGCCUCGGCAAUGUCCUCCUCCUCCUCCUCGUCGAUCUCGCCGAACACAACCUCGUUGCACUCCUUGUAAGCAGCCGCCACCUCCGCCACCUACUGGCGGUACCGCCAGCGGGUGACGCGGAUAUCGCGGGUGGAGCGGUAGGAAUCGACCAGCGCCUCUUGCUCUGCUAGGUCAACGUCUGGCGCGACUGCCCAUCCGGCGGUGAGCUGCUCCUCCGCCUGCAGGCGCUCCUCGAGGAGGUGUGGUUGUAGGCGGUGGCGGCCUGCGCUUCCUGGAACUGCUCCUCCCGCACCAUGUCCAUUUAAUGGGUGCGGGCCUCGUCGAUAGUCAUGGUGCAAUGCACCGGCGAGGGUGGCGCGGAGGAGGAGGGUGGCACCGGCUGGUGAUCGGCGGCGCCCUUCAUUGGGACGUCGUCAUCCUCCGGCUCUUAUGGUCCGGCGUCAGCCCAUCCCGGAGAGCUUUGGCGUGGGGGGUCCAUGGUAGUGCGGAGAGGGAUCAAAGGCGGAUGACUGCGGAUAUGAUCGGGGCAGCAGUUUAUAUAGCAAUGGCAGACGGUAGAGGGACGGACGGGUGGCGCGGGCAAAGACACCUCGGCAACCACGUGCCAUCAAUGUGGGUGGCAGACGGACGAACGGGCAGCCGUCAUAUCGUUUGAGCGCAUAGUAGUCGCCUGCACCGGGAAGCUGCCCGGGCGCUCUCUCGGCCGGUGUGUCGUUUCAAUGCCGGCACCAAUGCGCGGCUGCGCCGCUCUGGCCGGGCAUGAAUGCGGACACUGAUUUCGAAUCGACUUCUUAUUCCAAAGAUUUUGUUUUUAAAUUUUUAAUCAAUUUUUAAAAUCGGAAAAAAUAUUGCUCAAAAUGAAGAAGUGCUGAUGUUUGUAUAUACAAAAAGGUUCAUGUAUUUCUAGAAAAUAAUUUGUAGUUUUUUUAAUAAAUAUCCACAUAUAUUUCAAAAAGGUGUUUAAAAAUAUCAAGAAGAAAAACGGACAUAAAUGGACAACAAAAAGGUGGAAACCAAAAAAAAAAAAGAGGAAAAACAUUUUAAAAAAGCAAAAGAAACUAAAGAGAAGAAUUGAAAGGAAUAAAAAUGACGUCUGCUACAAAUCAUCCGGCUAAAAGAUCAGCCGCCUGGCUAGCCCUUCGAUUAGAAUCAUAGUUUUAAAUAGCCGGCUAUAGCCCCGCUAUAGCUAUUUGAACAUGUUGCCGCUAAAUGAUUUCAUGUACAAUUUGCCACUAUAACCUUACUAUAGCCCAGCUAUAGCUGUUUUUAAGGGUUGUCGCUAUAUGCCAUAGCCCGCUAUUUAAAACAUUGAUUAGAAUGCAUAUGGUCGUUCGAUCACACAGCAGCACAGAGUAGGGAUGAAAAUGAAGCGGAAUGGCCGGAACUGGGUGCUACCAUAUUUUUUUCAUAUUUUUUUUUGCAGAAGCGGAAAUGAAUACGGAAACCCCGGAAAGUAAUACGGAAACAAAUACUAUCAGAAACAGACACGAAGCGAAUACAGAGCGGACACGAAAACAGAACGGUGUGUUGACCGGAACUUAAAACCCCCUUGAAUCAUAGAGAAAUACACACAAAAAACAAAGAAAUUUAAGAAAUUUUUAACAUGGCUACAUGAUAAUAUGGUUGUGUUGGUAACGUAGGGUAGUAUUGUAAUAGUACAUGACAAUUCUGUAUUGUGUCUAGUUGAGAAUGUGUGUGAAAGUAAAAGUUGGUCCUCAAAUGAUCCAGUCUGCUCAUUGUGUUAUUAUAUGUUGUUUGGUAAUUGGGCUACAAAGCAAUCAUGGGCCUAUAGUAGAAACGGAAAUUCAAUAUUCACGGAAACGGAGUCUGUUUCACCGGAAAACACUGUUCCGUUUUUGUUUUCAUUUCCGCAUCAAAAAUUCCACUUCCAUUUCCAUUUUGCAAAUUUCCGUUUCCGUUUUCAUAUUUCUUCUCCGUUUCUAUUUUUUCUUCGGAAAAGCGGAAACUUUUCACUACAUUUUCAUCCCUAGCACGGAGCGUCUUUUUUCUCUUGUGUUGUACCCAUAUAUACACAACAAUAUGCCACCACGACACCACGCUGAUGCGAACCGCGACUGCAUCACCUAUGCUCGUACUGCUGCACCGGAGCCGUCGACCUUGCACCGGCGACUGCAACAGCACCCCACCCCCUGGUGCAGCUCCAUUGCAACCCCCGGCGGCGGAGACAAAGCUUCAACACAGCAUCCCCGGCGCCUGCGAAGCUCCAAUGCAGCAGCAACAAAGCUCCAACGCAACACCGGCGGAGCUCCAUUACAGCCUACUGACUCCGGUGAUGCGCCGACGAAGCUCCAUUGCAGCCCCCUGCGGUGGAGACAGAGCUUCAACGCAGCAUCACCGGCCGGCGCCGGCGAAGCUCCAAUGCAGCAGCCACAAAGCUUCGAUGCAGCACCGACAGAGCUCCAUUGCAGCCUGUCGACUCCAGCGAUGCGACGACGAAGCUCCAUUGCAGCGCCAACGAUGGAUUCCUUGCAGCCGGUCGCAAUAGUGCAGACGCUGCAUCGCAGCUCUGCCGUCGGCACACCACCAUGGAUGUUGUGUUGAAGCUUUUGCGGCCGCUGAGAUCCAUGGGUCACAUGGACACACGUGUUGCAUUGCAGCUUCACCGUUGCAGCGCCGACCACGGCGCCCUCCGCGCGGCACGACAACGCCCUCUUGAACUCCGGCCAUGCCGAAGAGUACUGCAUCGCGGCGUCGAUGAUCCUUCAGCCAUCUCGUUUGCAGCGCCGCAACAGCCCUCCCUCCUCCCUGGUUUUCAGUGUCGCCAAUAGUCGACAGGUUGUUGUGUCGCCGGCAGCAGUCAACGACGAGAUCCACGUGGUGGAAGGGGCAGGGAACAACAGCUCCCGCAGGAAGGAAGAUUAGGCAGGGGGCGAUUUCGAGGGAGAAGAGGAAAGGCCGGGCUAGUGCAGGGGGCGAUGGGGUUGCAGCAAGCGGCGGUGGUGGUGCUCGUCAUGGGAUCCUCACCCCUGCUCGAUCGUAUGAAGAAGACAAAAGGGAGGGGAAGAAGCGUGUAGAAGAGAUUUACUCUGUAUAAAAAGAUAAGGCGAGGAGGAAAGCGGCGAGCGGAGCCCACAGGGGCACGUGGCAUGCGGUGGAGGCGGCUUAAUGAGAGAAAAUAUAUUUUUUCGAGAGUACGUCAAUGACAUACCAUAUUUUUAUAGAAGGAAAGAGAGUUUAAUUAUAAGAAGCCCGUCUCCCAUGCGAAACAAUCCAAGGCGGGUACCCACUACAACGCCUAACCCCAAAACACCCAAAGCUAACUCCUCACAAAAUGUUGAAGGCCUCCUAUGCCAAUCCCGUAGCUCGCCAAAGUGCAAUCUCCUCCAACACCAAGGUCGGAAGGAGGGACGCUGGUUUUUGUUGGUUCAAUCUCUUAAACACCCUGGUGUUUCUUUGUUUCCACAGGUUCCAUGCCACCGCGCUGACAAGGGUGUCAAAGCCUCUCAUGUUCGCCCUCAUGAAUUUCUUCCUCUCUCUAAGCCACCAAGCGGAAAAAGUGUCCACCUACGUCGUUCCGAUCACAUUGAGUCUGAAGAGGUCGAACACUCUAUGCCACACUUCCUGCGCAUAUGUACACUUGGCAAGAAUAUGGUCAAUGUUGUCCUCGCACUGCAAGCAGGUGUAGCGUGGCAAAGAUGCAUGCUUUGCAGCUGGGUCGUGAAGAGGCUGUGAUGUUGCAAUCCUCCAUCCAUCUAUCUUCAAUGAGAGCUUGUUGUAUCGUGCGGCUGUUGAUAAUUCUAGUCUGCACUGACGCUACCAGCAAGGGCGCAAUAUCCGAUACCCCAAAGCCAUGUAUCCAUUUGUCCCUCCAGAAGAGCACUCUGUCGCUGCUGCCCACUGUAAUGCUAACCAUUAGCAUCAAAGACCACACGCGCAUUGGUGUCCUCAAUCAUGGUCAGCCCUUGCCAUGGCCUUUGAGGGCCAGUUCUUUUCAGCCAUUCCCACCGUACACAGAGAGCCAGUGCUUGUCCUUUCAAGUUUCUGAUCCCAAGCCCUCCCAGCUUCUUCGGUCGACAGAUCUUGUCCCACGCCACAAGGCAUUGACCUCCAUUGGCCUUGUCUUCCCCGCCCAAAAGAACGAUCGCAUCCACUUGUUCAUGUCCUCAAAGACCCAGUCCAGAGCAUCCGAGAUCAUUAGGUGGUGGACCGGCCUUGCCGCAAUGACAGACUACACAAGGAUUAGCCUUCCUGGUCGAUGUAUAAGGCCCCGCUGCUAGGCCAGGACGCACCGCCGCACCCGGUCCAGCAUAGGCAUCCAAUUUGCCCGCGUUAAGCUUCGGAUAGCAAGUUGCAGGCCAAAGUAUCUGCAUGGAAACUCCGACAUGCCACAUUGCAGGAUUCCGGCUACCCGAGCUCUGUCCUCUCAUCGCCCCUGAUAAGAAUGGCCGAGGACUUGCGGUAAUUGACCAUAAGGCCCGAGGCCGCCCCAAAAGCCUCAAGCAUCGCAUGCACUGCCGUCAGGUCCGAGGGAGUUGCCUCAUGAAGAACGCAACGUCGUCCGCGUAGAUCGAUAGUCUCUAAGUACUAGAUAUCUCGUUGUAGGAACUGAUCACCCUCAUCUCGGUGGCCUUGUUGACCAGCGCCGUCAGCACAUCCAUGGCGAUAACGAAUAGCAUCGGCGAAAUCGGGUCGCCCUGUCUGAGACCACAAACUUGCAGAAUUUUCUGUCCAGGAACUCCAUUUACAACUACCUUGGUACUAGCAGAUUGAAGCAACGCCAUCAUCCAUGAUGCCUAUCUUUGGCCAAAACCCUUGGCUCUCAUAACCUUAAACAGAAAAGGCCACGAGAGGGAGUCGAAAGCUCUUGAAAUGUCCAGCUUGAGAAAUACUCCGGGCAGCUUCCUCGCAUGGAUCUUUCUAGCCACUUGACGCACAAGGAGAAAGUUGUCGUGAAGGUGCCUUCCUUUGAUAAACGUAGAUUGGUUCAUCGCUACAAUCUCAUGCAUCAGCCCUCGAAGGCGGUUGGCCAGAACCUUGGCGAAUAGCUUAGGAAUGCUGUGAAUUAAGUUGUUCGGUCGGAAGUCUCCAAACUCUUGUGCAUCCGGCCUCUUCGGGAUGAGGAUAAUGUGUGCCUUGUUAAGCUUCGAAAAGCCUCUUGCGUCUCCAACAAAUAGCUUUAACAACACGGCCAUAAUAGCAUGCUUAAUGAUGCUCCAGGUUUUUUAAUAGAAUGCGCCAAUGAAGCCGUCCGGGCCAAGAGCACAAUCCGGGGGCAUCUCCUUAAUAACCUGCCACACUUCCUCUUCGGUGAUGAUCUCCUCUAGAAUGUGUAGGUCUCGUGCUUCGAUUCCAAGGAAUUGCAGAUCUAGGGUGUGCUCUCUCUCCUGCGUCGUGCGAAGCAGUUGCUCAAAGUGCUCUGUGAAAGCUUGCAGUUUCCUCUCUUGGUCCGUAAUGAUCUCGUCUCCCCUCUUGAUGUGCGAGAUAAAGUUCUUGGAUCUCCUUCCCUUCGCAACCGCCUGGAAAAGCUUAGUGUUUGCGUCCCUUUCCUUGAUCCACUUGAGCCUCGAUCUCUGAUGGUCAAUAGUGCAUUCCAGGGCAGCCAUGCCCAAGAGCGACUGCUUGAGAGUGUGUCGAAGCCAUAGCUCUUCUCUCUGUAAUCUCAUGUAGUCUUGCGCCACGUCAAGUCUAUGGAUGACCCAGGUGGCCACGCCCAUCAGUAACUUCACAUUCCCAAACUUCCUUUGGCCCCACGCUUGCAGAUGAGCAGUGGUGUUGCGUAGCAGGGCAUCGAGCUUCUUGUAGGGGUCAACAAUGACGGAGUUGCAGACCCAAGCCUCCCUCACGGCGUCUUCGAAGACCUCUAGCUUAGUCCAGAACAGCUCGAACCUAAAUCUCUUCUUGGGGCAAAAACCAGCGCUCGUAGAAAGGUGCAGAGGAGCGUGGUCUGAGACCCUUGUGGAAAACACCUGCUCGUUCGACCAAGUCUACCGAAAUAAGGACUCUGUCAAUCUUAGUCAGGGUCGGCGCCUCCCGCUCGUUCGACCAAGUGAAUCUACGACCGUGCAUGUACAUCUCCUUCAGCUCGUUCGACCAAGGAGAGAAAAUAUCAUCAUGUUGUUUUGAAGAGUAAAAUCGACUAAAGAAUCUACCCAAUAGACUGAAUCUACCAUCUACCAAACAGGCUGAAUUAGUGUAGCGGUUGAGGGUGAAUCUAGGAGUGAAGAAUGGGUCACACACGGCGUGCAGCUCCCAUGCCUACCAGUGCGUGACAGGUGGGCCCGCGUGGGAUCAGCUCGCCCGAUUCCACGAGAAUCUCUCCCCUGGUGCCUGGUUUGUUACUUCACUCCCUCUCCUUGCUGCACUAGUUUCGCUCCAUCCCCUCUAGAACUCCUACUAUUCUUGUUGGCUGAUCAUCCAAGAUCGAUGGGGUCGUCGUUUAAGUUGGAGUGGGGCCCGGCGAUCUGCAUGGUGCUCAUCGAGCUGUUCACCACGGGGCAGAUGCUGCUCACCAAGGUGGUGGUCGACGCCGGGCUCUUCGUCUUCGCCCUCCUCACCUACCGCUUCUUCCUCGGCGCCGCCCUCGUCGUCCCUCUCGCCCUCAUCUUUGAGCCGUACGUCAUCGCUACUCUACUCACCAUCCGUGCAUCUCAUCUUCAAGAUUUUUAUUAUUACUCUCUUCGAUCCAUAUUAGUUGUCGCUGAUUUAGUAUAAAAUUAACGGAGGAAGUACUUAUUUCUGCAUGCAUGCAUUCCUGGUCGAUCUAGAGCUAUCUUCAUGACGUGACGUGAUCGAAUUCCUUCUUUGCACUUAUAUUGAUAUGUGGUUCGUGUGUGCCUAUGGGUGGAUGGCGUGUUGUGUUUGCCUGUUGCGUUCGCCGUGUCGCUAUCAUGCCCUCCGUUUUGGAAUUACUUGUCACAAAAAUGGAUGUAUCUACAACUAAAAUAUAUAUAGAUACAUUUAUUUCUUGGACGAGUAAUUCCGAACGGGAGAGUAGUCUCUAGGCAAGUUAAGCUGGACAGGCCGUUUGUCUUCUUUCCUGGUGGCUGAAGAAGCUGCUGAGUUUGGCGGCGGGAAUUGUAAGCAUGUCAAAUCUGAAAUGGAUGCCACGCACAUAUGUUCCCAAGGGUCUAUUUUACGAGUCUUCCAUGACAACAACGCAACCUCGUGCGCCCUCCAGUUGCUCAACGUCUCCUAUAAGUAGUAUGGACGGUCAUCGCAUCUUUAGAGAAUCAAGGUGAAGUAAUGGCUACGCCCCCGGCCGAAAACAUAGCAAAACAUUUAAAAAAAAUCUAAAACUUUGUGGCAAUGAUUAUGAAUAAAUGUUAUAGAUGUUUUCAAGGUUUGGUGGUCAAAUGACAUCCAAGGAGCUCGAAUGUAACACCCCGAGACCGAUGUGUCAGGUGUCCUCUAGUUAUUCGCUGUUGUUGCCUUGUCAUUGUUUGCGUGUCAUGCAUCUCAUAUCAUGUCAUUAUGUGCAUUUCAUUUGCAUACGCGUUCGUCUCAUGCAUCCGAGCAUUUUCCCCGUUGUCCGUUUUGUAAUUCGGCGCUCCUAUGUCACCCGGUGUCCCUUUCUACCUCUUUUCGUGUGCGGGUGUUAAACGUUUUCGGAUUGGACCGAGACUUGUCAUGUGGCCUUGGUUUACUGCCGGUAAACCGCCUGUCAAGUUUUGUGUCAUUUGGACUUUGUUUAAUACUCCAACGGUUAACCGAGGGAUCGAAAAGGCCUCGUGCGUGUUGCAGCCCAACACCCUUUCAAUUUGGCCCAAAACCCACCUAAACCUCCUCCAUCAUCUCGGUCGUUCGAUCACGAUCGCGUGGCCGAAAAACGCACCUCAUUUGAAGUCUCCUAGCUCCCUCUACCUAUAAAUAUGUGGUCUUCCCCGAAAUUCGCGGACGAAACCCUAGCCUCCUUCUUCCUCCGCGCGCCGGACAACGUCCGCCGGCGCCGGACGUGUCCGGCUUGUCCCGCCGCCGCCACAUGUCCUCCUCCCAUUGGUUCNNNNNNNNNNNNNNNNNNNNNNNNNNNNNNNNNNNNNNNNNNNNNNNNNNNNNNNNNNNNNNNNNNNNNNNNNNNNNNNNNNNNNNNNNNNNNNNNNNNNNNNNNNNNNNNNNNNNNNNNNNNNNNNNNNNNNNNNNNNNNNNNNNNNNNNNNNNNNNNNNNNNNNNNNNNNNNNNNNNNNNNNNNNNNNNNNNNNNNNNNNNNNNNNNNNNNNNNNNNNNNNNNNNNNNNNNNNNNNNNNNNNNNNNNNNNNNNNNNNNNNNNNNNNNNNNNNNNNNNNNNNNNNNNNNNNNNNNNNNNNNNNNNNNNNNNNNNNNNNNNNNNNNNNNNNNNNNNNNNNNNNNNNNNNNNNNNNNNNNNNNNNNNNNNNNNNNNNNNNNNNNNNNNNNNNNNNNNNNNNNNNNNNNNNNNNNNNNNNNNNNNNNNNNNNNNNNNNNNNNNNNNNNNNNNNNNNNNNNNNNNNNNNNNNNNNNNNNNNNNNNNNNNNNNNNNNNNNNNNNNNNNNNNNNNNNNNNNNNNNNNNNNNNNNNNNNNNNNNNNNNNNNNNNNNNNNNNCAACUCCGGCGAACUGCUACAGUAACGGCGAGAUCCAGAUCUGGAUCUGGAGAUUCCACUCGGUUGACUUUUUCCUCCGAACCCUAAUCUUUUGGCAUUUUUCAUCGCAUCAUAACUCUGCAUCCGUGGCUCCGAUUUGCGCGUGUAGCAUAUCACAUGUUCGCCUCGACGAGUACAUCAUUUCAUCUCAUUGCAUCAUUUUCAUUUCAGCUCAUCUUGAUGCCCGAAAUGUCGUUGGAAGAGGGCUAUUUGAGGAAUUUGCUAGAUCUGUUUCAGCAAAUAGGCUUUUGUCAUUUUUGCCAUGAUUAAUGUGUGCAUGCUAUGAUCCUGAGCUCUACAUAUGUUUUGUUAUAUGCCAUGCCAUACUUACAGUGGUGUUUGCCAUGUAUUUUUGUGAUAUUUGUGGUGACUAUCACAAGCUUGCAAAGUAGCGUAAUCGGUAAUGCUGAUUUCAGGGACUUAGAAUUUCACAAAGUCCUUGUCCUGAUUUUGUUGUUAUGCCAUAUGUUCAUAUUGUUUCCUAGUGAUCCGUGCCUAUUUUAAGGAUGAUCAAUAAGGAUGUUUUGUUAACAUCGUGGUGCUCUAUCCAUCCAUGUCUUUAUUUGCAUUUAUGGAGCACUCUGGCUUGAGUCAAUCGAGCUCUACUUUUGCUAUAAAAUGUUCCUGGUAGAUUGUUAACUUGUUUAGCGAUUUUGCCGAGGAUGUUGCUAUUGAUCCGUGCAUGCUAUGAUGUUGUUCUUGCCAUGUCUAGCUUCUAUGUCAUGUCUUCUUGAUGGUUGUAUGCUUAGUUUGUCAUGCCAUGAUUUGUAGUGAGUGCAUCGAGCUCGUAAACAUGCCUACUCGUUAACUGUUUGUCAUGCUCCAGUUUUUCACCAAGUCUGAAUCUGUUUAUGUUUUUGCUAUGUUCACAUGCUUGCAAUUGUAUUUUUUGAUCCCUUUUGGCUCAAGGUCACUAAGGGACUUUUGUUAAAUGCUUUGAGUAGCUUCAUGACAUGCCUUUCUUUGCCAUGAUAUGUUUCUAUAGCAUGUCUUGUUCAUGCUCUAAAGUAUGCUUUCUGAUGAUAAAUUCCAGACUUGUGUUAAUUUCACUAAGUCUGAAACCUGUUAUCAUUUGCACUUUUGCCAUGCUUGUUUGAGCCUGUUAAUGGAUGAUUUAGCCGUAGCUCAGUGUUCAUCUUUUGUCAAGCAUCUUGAGUGGAUCCAUGCCAUAUAUUUUGUUGCCAUGUUUGAGUGUUGUAGCAUAUUUAUCUUGUUGCAUUUAGAUGGUUACUUGCUAAUUAUCACAGACCGGUGCCAUAUUUGUUUUGCUUGCCAUUUCCAAACCGUGCAUCCGAUUCCGGUGAUCUUUAUAUCGAUUUUAACCGAAAUCACCUCACCUUUCCAGUGGCACUCUUGGAUUUCCAAGUUGAGGCCAGCUUAAAUCAUUUCUUUGCAAAUCAUGCAUAUGCAUCACAUACCGCAUCCCACAUAUCAUACCAUGUUCAUGUGUUGGUUUGUUUACUAUGUUGUGUGCUUCUUUCCGGUGUUGCUUCUUCGGGUUGGUUCCGAUUAUGACGCGUUUGUGAGGAUCCGUUCGACUUCGUCUGCUUGUCUUCUUCAUGGACUCGUUUCUUCUUCCUUGCGGGAUCUCGGGCAAGAUGACCAUACCCUCGAAAUCACUUCUAUCUUUGCUUGCUAGUUGCUCACUCUUUUGCUAUGCCUAUGCUGCGAUACCUACAUCUUGCUUAUCAUGCCUCCCAUAUUGUUGAACCAAGCCUCUAACCCACCUUAUCCUAGCAAACCAUUGUUUGGCUAUGUUACCGCUUUGCUCAGCCCCUCUUAUAGCAUUGUUAGUUGCAGGUGAAGAUUGGAGCUUGUUCCAUGUUGGAACAUGGAUAUUUUGUUGGGAUAUCACAAUAUCUCUUAUUUAAUUAAUGCAUCUAUAUACUUGGUGAAGGGUGGAAGGCUCGGCCUUAUGUCUGGUGUUUUGUUCCACUCUUGUCGCCCUAGUUUCCGUCAUAUCGGUGUUAUGUUCCCGGAUUUUGCGUUCCUUACGCGGUUGGGUUAUAAUGGGAACCCCUUGACAGUUUGUCUUGAAUAAAACUCUUCCAGCAAGGCCCAACCUUGGUUUUACCAUUCGCCACCUAGCAUUUUUCCCUUGGGAGUCGCGCAUCCCGAGGGUCAUCUUUAUUUUAACCCCCCCGGGCCAGUGCUUGUCUAAGUGUUGAUCCGAACUAGAGUCCUUUGCAGCGCCACCUCGGGGAAACUUGAGGACUGGUUUUAUUUGUACGAAGCGAUCAUCCGGUGUUGCCCUGAGAACGAGAUAUGUGCAGCUCCUAUCAGGAUGUCGGCGCAUCGGGCGGUCUUGUUGGUCUUGUUUUACCUGUCAAAAUGUCUUGUAACCGGUAUUCCGAGCCUGAUCGGGUCUUCCCGCUAGAAGGAAUAUCCUUCAUUGACCGUGAGAGCUUGUGAUGGGCUAAGUUGGGACACCCCUGCAGGGAUUUGAACUUUCGAAAGCCGUGCCCGCGGUUAUGGGCAGAUGGGAAUUUGUUAAUGUCCGGUUGUAGAAAACCUGAAGUUGACCUUAAUUAAAAUACAUCAACCGCGUGUGUAACCGUGAUGGUCUUUUCUCGGCGGAGUCCGAGAAGUGAACACGGUGUUGGAGUUAUGCUUGACGUAGGUUGUUCUAGGAUCACUUCUUGAUCAUAGUUGUUCGACCGUGCUUUUGCCUUCUCUUCUCGCUCUCAUUUGCGUCGUUAGCCACCAUAUAUGCUAGUCGCUUGCUGCAACUCCACAUCAUACAUUUACCUUACCCAUAAGCUUAAAUAGUCUUGAUCGUGAGGGUGUGGGAUUGCUGAGUUGCCGUGACUCACAGAUACUUCCAAAACCAGUUUGCAGGUGCUGAUGUUACCGAGCAGGUGACGCAACCAAGCUCAGGAGGAGCUCGAUGAAGAUCUUAUCCUUUGUGUUGUUUCGUUCUAGUUGAUCAGUAAUGGAGCCCAGUUGGGGACGAUCGGGGAUCUGUGUAGCAUUUGGGGUAGUCUUCUUUUAUUUUGGGUUCCGUAGUCGGACCUUGAUUGUAUCUGGUUAAUGUAAUGCUUUAUUAAUGUAUUGUGUGAAGUGGCGAUUGUAAGCCAACUAUGUAUCUCUUUCCCUUAUGUAUUACAUGAGUUGUGUGAAGAUUACCUCACUUGCGACAUUGCUUUCAAUGCGGUUAUGCCUCUAAGUCGUGCUUCGACACGUGGGAGAUAUAGCCGCAUCGAGGGCGUUACAUCGAAGCUCCUUGGAUGUCAUUUGACAACCAAACUUUUCAAACACCUAUAGCAUGUAUUCAUUAUCAUUGCCACAAAGUUAGAUAAUAUGGUCUACAAAUAAAACUUAUGGCCGCAACAAUGAAAAUUACGCUCCUAAAUUAAAACUGAUGAGAUGAGAUACACUAGCAGUCUAGCACCACCUGAUAGUCAGAAACUACAUUAUGCAUGAUCUUUGCAUUUAUAUUGAUCUGUUAUGUUCUUCCCUGUUGGACCAAUAUAUGGUUUGUGUUUGUCUAUGGCGUGUCUGUCCAUUGCGUUCGCCGUGUCGCCAGCAUGUGUACUGUACUGUGUAGUCUCCAAACCAAGUUUAGCUAGACAGGCUGUUUGUCUUCUUUCCUGAUGGACAAAGAAGCUACUGGGUUUGGAGGCGUGGAAAUCGUAAGCAUAUCGAAUCUGAUGCCACACAUAUUUUCCCAGAAUCUCACUAGUCUUUCAUGACAACAACCUUGUAUGUUUCUCAUUUGGUUACUUACCAGUACGGUUUUAGCUCAUGGUGUCUUUGGAAGUCCGCCUCCGCCGAACGAGUAUUUCACCACGAAAGGCUUUCAAGUUAAUUCCACUAGAAUCCUACAGGCUACAUGAUAUAGGUUUAGCUCAUUACUCGAAUGAAACCAAAUCUACAACAAAAGACUAGGGAUUACUUUAUCAAUUAAUUGGAAGAACGGAAGAUAUACUCUUCAUAGUUCAUACUCGUUUACCAGUCUGAAAUGUAAUGAAAUCAAAACUGAGAGAGCAAAAUAGACAAUAUGGUCUAGAAGUGACAUUCACGGUCGCAAAAAUGAAUACUACGCUCUGAAAUUACAUCUGAUGAUAUAAAUUAGCGAUGCCUGAUGAUUAUAUAACUUGCACAUUUUUUUAGACAAUUGUUUGAGCAUUGAUAUCGAUACAAAGUCCAAUCAAAUUGUCUGCAAAGGUGUAAAGUGCACAAUAUCCCAAGAAGUGGAGGCAUGUAGCUAACAGAGCAGGCCCUAAAUCAGAAAGAUUAGAAAGUAUAGCUAAUUAGAUGCAAACACAAGUUCUCUGUGUAGCUAACAGAGCAUGCACCGCCGACCCAUAUUCAAAUCUUUUUUUUUUAGAGAUUGAGGAAUAACUCUCAUAUAUAUCCCUCGAACAUAAAGAGAAAAAUUAGAGGGUGUAGACAUCAUGCAAACAUAAGUUCUCUGUACAUGCACGCCACUAGCUCACACAUAAAGAAUGACAAGCACUUCACUUGGUGAGUCAGAGCCAGCAGGGGCGGAGCCAGAAAAUUUGGCCGAUGGGUUCACUCAGUACCUCAUUGUAAGGAUUUAAUAUGGGUUAAUUAAGUGUAGCGUUCAAUUUCAUACUAACUUACAAUAGGGGCACGUCACUUAAAAGACAUGUGGCGAGUAGAAAUAUGAUAUUGAUUAUCACAUAUAUGGUGGUUACAUAUAGAAGUGGAGAGUGCAAGACAUACUGAUUGUGUGAAAUUAUAAAAUCCCUUGUUGACAUAUUAUAAAUAGAGCAGCACCAAAAUAACUUCAUAGCUUCAAGUGCAGCUUCUCAUCUUCCUAAAAUAUAUUGGAGAAAAUGACAAGUUACUUUGACAAGUUCAAAAUAAAUACCAUCAAGUCAAAGAGGCAUAUAAACAAAAGUGAUUUUAAGCCUGAUUCGAUUCUGGGUAUUUUGGAAGAUCAGUUUACUUAUCAUGGGCAACCUAAAUUGAUUGAUCUUGAUUAAUCAAAGCAUCACUUUUUUUACCGUUAUAUUAUGAAAGCUAUUAACAUUACCUUUACCCACAUGGGUAUUUUGUCCCUUUUUUGUUCCAAUUGCUCCAACCUUUAGUUGCAAGUGCAUCACUCCCAGCUUAUCUCUCAUUGUAAUCACUAAAUCCGAUCAGGCAGAUCAUAUGGCAGAUCAUCUAAACUAAUUUCUCUAUGCAUAGAAAGCCUUGGGAGGCUAUUUGCAACAGUGAGAUUUGAUGUACUUUGCUUACAUUGAGUGGCCUUAAAGCGCCUGCAGCAUUAUCUGGAUCUGAUGAUUGAUUUAUUACUAGAAAACAUCGCUCUAACCUACACCAAUUAAAGUUCGGGGAAAAGCAACUAAAAAUUUUAGGGCAAAGAGUAAUACCAUCAUCCAGUGUACUAGGCUCCAACACAUGUACAAGGGUGAUGAUGUGACCUGGUCGCCUGCAAUUUGGACUUUAAUUGCCAGCCGCUGCCGACAACCGAUCUGCUGUUGCCGGCUUGCCGCCGCAAUGGAGAGACGAGGUCGAAAGAGUUGCCGGGUUGGGAAACAAAUUGGGGAAACGAGGCGUGCGUCGUGCGGCAUGCGUACCUACUAUAGAAUCGAGUGGUCGAGGACUGCGUGGAUCUCAUCGCAUGGCAUUACAUUUACGUCUGGGCUUCUUUUGUUUUUUGUGAAAUAUCUGUAUCAUUCUGUGGGCUUUUGGUUGGACUACUGAUGUUAUAAAGAAUUAAUUAUUAUGGGCUGAGAGGCUUCUGGCGGGUGCGUACUAGCUUGAUGGGUUCAGCCGUGAUUUUCUAUUGGGUUCAUGCAAGUGCCAACAGUAUACACAUGUACGUGGCAUAAAAAAACUGUUGGGUUCAUCUGAACCCAACACCUACAAGCUGGCUCCGCCGCUGAGAGCCAGCACUCCCCUCCCUCCCCGUAGCUUUGCCACUCCCUCCCUGUAGCUUUGCUCAAAGGCUAUCUCCAAUUCUCCAUCACGCACGUCCAGCGACAGACAUACACAAUGGGGGGCUCGACGAACGUGAAGGAAUGGUGGCCUGCCAUAUUCAGUAGAAUGGUAAUAUUCACCACACUGUAUUGAUCAUAGGGUCUUGCCCUUUAUAUACACAGGAGAGUACAACAGAGAGAGGGGGUCGUGGCCUAGCUCUACGUAGCCACGAUCACCGCGUGGGCAGAGAGCGUGCGGACGUGCCCGAGUCUGUCUCGCGGGAGGACAAGGUCUUCCAACAGCCCCCCGCAGCCACAGCAGGGUCUUCGACGAUGUUGAGGCUGGACCGGAACUCUGUGAAGACGGCAGUCGGCAGCCCCUUGGUGAAUAUGUCGGCGAACUGGGACGUCGAGGGCACGUGUAGAACACGCACAUCGCCAAAGGACACGCGCUCGCGGACGAAGUGGAGGUCGAUCUCCACGUGCUUGGUGCGCUGGUGCUGUACUGGGUUGUAGGAGAGGUACAUGGCGUUGACGUUGUCGCAGUAGACGAUCGUCGCGCUCGCUGGCGGCCGGUGCAGUUCACGGAGAAGCUGACGAAGCCAGCAAGUGUCAGCCACGGCGUGCGCCACCGCGCGGUACUCCGCCUCCGCGCUGGAGUGCGACACCGUGUGCUGCCUCUUAGAUGACCAAGAGACGAGAUUGUCACCAAGGAAGACGCAGAAGCCGGAUGUAGAACGCCGCGUAUCCGGGCACUCGGCCCAGUCGGCGUCGGAGUAAGCCACGAGGUUGGUGCUGCUGCUGCCUCGCCGGAGGCGGAGCCUGAGGUGAGCGGAGCCGCGCACGUACCGCAACACGCGCUUGAGAAGAGUGAAGUGAGCCUCGCGUGGAUCAUGCAUGAACAAGCAGAGUUGCUGCACGGCAUAGGCGAGGUCUGGCCGUGUCAAUGUCAGGUACUGCAGGGCGCCGGCCAAACUCCGGUACAGUGCGGGGUCGGAGACAGGAGCGCCGGCGAGUGACGAGAGUUUGCUUUUGGUGUCGGCUGGUGUUGAGACGGGCUUGCAGUUGAGCAUGGCGGCGCGGUCGAGGAUCUCGAGGGCGUACUGCUGCUGCGAGAGGAACAGCCCGGAGCUGGUGCGGUGCGUGGUGAUGCCGAGGAAGUGAUGCAAGUCGCCGAGAUCGGUCAUGGCGAACUCAGCGUGGAGGGCGGCUAUGGUGGAGCGCAGCAGAUGGGUGGAGCUGGCGGUGAGGAGGAUAUCGUCGACGUACAGCAAGAGAUACGCGGUGCCGGCGGCGCUGUGGAGGAUGAAAAGGAAUGAGUCGCAUUUGGACGCAUGGAAGCCGAGCGACAGGAUGAAGGCGUGGAAGCGCUGGAACCAUGCCCGCGGCACCUGGCGCAGCCCAUAGAGAGAUUUUCGGAGCUGGCAGAUGUGCGUGGGCCGAGCGGCGUCGACGAACCCUGAGGGUUGCUGGCUGAAGACGACGGAGUCGAGCUCACCAUGGAGGAAAGCGUUCUUCACGUUCAGUUGGUGAAUGGGCCAGUCCGACGACACGGCGAGGCUGAGGACGACCCGUAUCGUCGCUGGCUUCACCACCGGACUGAAGGUCUCGCCGAAGUCGAUGCCGGGUCGCUGAGUGAAGCCACGAAGCACCCAUCUCGCUUUGUAGCGGGCGAGUGUGCCGUCAGGAUGUAGCUUAUGGCGAAAGACCCAUUUCCCCGUCACCGUAUUAGCACCUGCAGGACGAGCAACAAGAGACCACGUAUUGUUUUGCAACAGAGCAUGAAACUCAUCGCACAUGGCGGCGUACCAGUUCGGAUCCUUGAGGGCUUGUUUGUAGGAAGAAGGGAUGGGCGAGAUGGCGGUACUAGUGGCCUCGGCAAUGAGAGAGUGGGGGGAGAAGAGGGCUUUGGGCUGCAGAAAACCGGACUUGCCCCGGGUCUGCAUGGCGUGGGUGUUGCGCCGUGGUGUGAUUGGAACGGCGCGAGGAGGCAGGGGACGGCCAAGUGGCGAGAAAUGUCGUUCUCAGAGAGGAAGGAGCGUAAACGAAUGUUGAGGAAUUCACCCCCGUUGUCACACUGUAUACACUGAAUGCAGAGAUGGAACUGCGUCAGCACGUAGGCAUAAAAGCGUAUGAGUAUGUCGGCAGCAUCAGAUUUGUGACGGAGGGGGAAGCUCCAGGAGUAAUGGCUAAAAUCAUCAACUAUGAUUAGAUAAUAUGCAUAGUCGGAACAGCUAGGAACCGGUGAUGUCCACAAAUCACUAUGGAUAAGCUGAAACGGAGAAGUAGUAAAGGUACUAGAGGUAGGAAAGGGAAGCCGUGGCUGCCGCCCUAGCUGGCAAGCCUCACAAGUGGCUGGGGAAGAAAUACUAGGAGUGCAUGAAAGAAAAUCUUUAGCUAAACUAGAUAAGGAGGCGCCGCUAGUAUGCCCUAAGCGCCGAUGCCACAGAUCGCCCACGUCAACGGUGAGAGCGGUAGGAGACUCGCCGAAGAACGGGUAGAGGCCGGUGGAGCUAUUUGACCUCAUGAGAGGGGUCCUGGUCGCCAGAUCCUUCACAAGAAAGCCAUGAGGGUCAAACUCGACAGAAACGGAAUUGUCAGUGGUAAAUUGUCGUACAGAGAGAAGAUUCUUGAUAACAGAGGGGGAGAAAAGAACAUGGUUGAGAUUGAACGGGCGGGGUGGGAGGGAAGCGGUGCCGAUGGCAAGAGCAGGCAUGUACGAACCAUCGCCGACCAAUAUGGAUGGGUGCUCUGAAGAAAAACAAGACGAGCUCAAGUUACCUGCGUUGUUGGUGAUGUGGCUCGAGGCACCCGUGUCGAGGUACCACUCGCCGCCGGUGCUAGCAGGCUGCAGGGACAUGUUGUUCAUGGCGGUGUGGAGCAGCCCAGUUUGAUCCCAUGAGGGUGGCUGGGGUGGUGGCGCCGCGGUGUAGAGAGGGGCUGGGUCGUACGCCGGGGACGCGUCGUAGACCAUGGGGUAGGCCUGGUGCGGGACGCCGGGCCGUGGACCGAGCACGCCCGCGGCGUUGGGCGGCACCCAGGGAGUGCGGCCAGCGGGAGGAAACGGCGUCCCCCACGGAGCGAAAUACCCCAUCCAGGGCUGCUGCGACGGAGAGGGAGUGGUUGGAGGCCCGCCACGGCCGCCGUAGCCACGCCCGCGGCCACGGCCGCGCCCCCCACGUUCGGAGGAGGCGGAGCGGUCGCCAUGGCGCUGCUGUUGCGGCAGCUGCUGCGGCACGCCGCGGUCUCCUGAUCCGGCAGUCCCCGAGCCGCCAGCGCCCGAGGAGGAGCCGUCGGUGGUGGCGAUGAGGGCGGUGGUCCCCGCAGUACGGGUGCGUGCAUCCAUGUUGAUUUCCUCCAGCAUCAGCUUGGAGCGGGCCUGGACAAAGUUGGGGAAGGGGACCUGCAUCGGGAGGAGCGACGCCAUCACCUGGAACCGCGGGGAGAGGUCGCGGAUUAGCUGCAGGGUCAGGGUUUUGUCGGAGACGUGCUCGUCGAGGUCGUCAAGCUCGUCGGCAAGCGCCUUGAGGCGCCGACGGUACUCCCCGAUCCGGAGGUCGCCCUGGACCAUGGGCCGGAACGCGGCGCCGACGUGAACGGCGCGGCCCGUGAGGUUGUCGCGGAAGAAAGCAUCGAGCAGGACCCAGGCAUGAUAGGCAGUGGUAUCUUUGGCAGAAAUCACAUCACAGAGCUCAUCGGUGAUCGUACCGUAGAUCAUGAGAAGGAUCUGCAGAUCGUCGUGGCGCCACUGCGCCGUCUGCUGGAGGGGAUCGCAGGGACGAGGACGUGGCUCUCCACGCCGGACUUGCGGAGGAUGAAGGACAUGAUGCGGCGCCACUUCGAGUAGUUGCCGGAGAUGGGAUCCAGCUUGAAGUCGAUGUGUGCCCCGAUGUUGACGGCGUGGAUCGAUGGCGGCGGCGCAGUAGAGGAGGAGGUGCCGUCGGAGAGCGCCGCCCCGAGUGGCGACACGGUGAGGUUCAGCGGAGCGGUGGCUGGGGGAGCGGUGCUAAUGGGCAGCGAACUGGAGGUGGUGGGCAGCGGAGAGGAGGUGGGAGGGGGGAAAGUAGCGGGCAGCGGUGCGCUGCCAUGGGGCAGUUCCCCGGAGUCAGAGCCGGCGUCAGAGGCAUGGGAGCCGGCCAUGGACAUGAAGGAAAGAACUUGCUCUAGUGCCAAGUAGAAUGGUAAUAUUCACCACACUGUAUUGGUCAUAGGGUCUUGCCCUUUAUAUACACAGGAGAGUACAACAGAGAAAGGGGGUCGUGGCCUAGCUCUACGUGGCCACAAUCACCGCGUGGGCAGAGAGCGUGCGGACGUGCCCGAGUCUGUCUCGCGGGAGGAUAGGGUCUUCCAACAUAUUCAUGGUGUUGGUCCAAAUUUUCACGACAGGGUUGGUGUUGCUCACGAAAGUCGUGAUGGACAGUGGGUCACUUGCUUGGACCUUGCUCACAUACCGCUUCUUCCUUGGCGCCAUCUUGACCACUCCCUUGGCGAUGUUCUUUGAGAAGUUAGCUCUAAUUAACUACUGUUAUUUUAGCAUAUUUUUCUCCUUCUCAUGGUUGUCAUAUGACAGGGAACAUUUGGCAAGUAAAUAUCAAAAUUCGUCGUGAUAUAGAAACAUUUUGCAAAUGAUUAUCUGUUUACUUACCCUCAUCACCUGAUGUAGAGGGAAGUUGAAGGAGCUUAAAUUGAAGGCAUUCAUAUGGAUUUUCACCGGUUGUGGGGUUAGUCGUUUUGUUCACAUCAUCUUAGUUCAGCAAUGGUUCUGAUUAAUAUCUGCCCACAAAGUAGUAGUGAUUGUUGCUUUCUCCUUCCAGAUUCACAAUUCCUGGUCUCUACUACAUUGGCCUCGGAGACACAUCACCAGGAUACGCGAUAAACUUCUAUAACAUCAUCCCGAUUGCCACAUUCAUCCUCGCGGUCCUUUUCAGGUAAACAAGAUGGAAAUAUAAUGCAGCACCUACCAGAAAUAUUGGGACCAUAUAGGAAGGAACUGCGACAACCGUAUAAUCUUUUUUUCAAGAAGGAGUCACUGGACAUGAGGAGCCUGGUGGGGAACAUCAAGGUCAUUGGAACCCUAGUCUGUGUUGGAGGAACGCUGGUGAUCAGCCCGUACAAGGGCAAGGUGCUGCACCUUUGGCCCACCAAUAUCAUCGGCUACCACCCCAAACAAGCCGGAGCUGUGUUUGGUCACCACCAUGUGCGUGGAACCGUCUUGCUCAUCACGAGCUGCCUCAGCCUCGCCGUUUGGUAUACAGUACAUGUAUAUAACAAACAUAUAAGCAACAACUCACUAUUGCAAAAUCUCAAAUAAAUAGUAUUACCUAUAUAUCAUUAUUUUUGUACAGGUAUUUCAUGCAAAAUUCAACUACUCCGAGGGAGUAUUACCUUUUUUUAAUUCUUUAGCAAAGUGACAAAUACAGCUUAAUUAUAUAUGAGUUUGUAACAGUGGCGGCGCCAGGUUCUACAGGGUGGGUAUUCAUUUUGGAGGAGGGUAUUCAUUUUGCCCAAAUCAUCACUGUUUUGCAAAAAAAAAAUCGCUUGUUUUAUAUAAAAUUUCAAUGGUUUGUCAAAAUCUUGGGUAUUCAACCGAAUACCCAAGAAGACCACUGGCGCUGCCCCUAGUUUGUAAUGAGCAGGCUCAGAUGCUAAAAGUGUUCCCAUACAAGUACUGGUCCACGGUCGCUACAUGCUUCGUGGGGAGCAUCCAAAUGGCUGUCGUGGGGGUUGCCAUGAACAGAGAGAAGGCAACAUGGGCGCUCAAAUGGAACAUGAGCUUGCUCACCAUUGUGUACUCGGUAAAACUAUUCGGCUAUUCCUUUUGUUGUGCAUCAGUUCACUUUUUGGCUCUCGGUUGAAGGUCCUCAUUUACAUCUUGCUGCAGGCAAUACUCAACACUGCUGCCAAGUUUGUGAUGAUUUCGUGGGUCAUCACGCAGCGUGGGCCAACCUAUCCGGCCAUGUUUUGCGCCGUGUCGGUGUUCUUCACUACUAUUCUUGACUCAUUGCUUCUCGGCCAUGAUCUGUCCGUUGGGAGGUAUGCUUACCACUUCUCUCCAUCCUAUGUUAAAAAGUGCUGAUUUUGGCUAACGUUCUUAAGACCGUAGGUAUAUACCCAAAUAUGCAUUGCCAAUUACUAACAUUAUUUUCUUAAAAAUUGUUGCUGAGUUUUCCUUGUAAUUAAUAAUCGAUCUGUUUACAUGCCUACAGUGUUCUAGGCAUGUUCAUGAUUCUAGCUGGGCUCUAUCUUUUCCUUUGGGGAAAGAGAAAAGAACCGGUACCUCCGAGUGAAGAAAAUCCAACGGAACAAAUGUUGUUUCAGAAUGGAGACAAGAAUGAUAAAUCAGUAGCUAAUGUAUGAUUAUUUCAUUUCGCAAUAUUACAAAAGGGACUAUUCAAAAGUUUGUGUAUACGAAAAACAGAGAAAAAAGGUCAAUAUUGUUUGUGAUGUCCUCAACCAUUCAUCCAAUUUGAUCAUCACGUAAAAAGGUCAAUAUCCCAAAAUUGUUGAUUAUGGUUGAGUUUCUUCAUUUUAAUUAGCAAAUUUUAAACCAGAAAGUGAAAAUAGCAAAAUGACACAAUUAGUUCCAAGUUUUGUAGUUUCUUUGUUUGGUUUUAUAUGAAGUCCUCCAGCAUUGACCCUGCAUUAUUGUGUCUCUCCACUGCCUCAUGCUUUUCCUCCUGUCUGAAAGGAUCGAGAUGGAUCUGCGAGGAGGGCAGGAUGUGAAUGGGUCUCUACAUUAUUUAUGAUGCUUGCAACGUAAGGGACCAAAGUAAAACGCAAAUGAACGAGCUACAGUUAAGGACAAUCGAAGGCACAGGGAAACAAAUAUUUAUUUCGAUGUUCACUCCCUUGGAGCAGAGAUAGUCACCGUUGGAGAGAUAGGAAUCCACAAAGGAAACCAACACCACAUUGCAUAAGAGCAACUACAACACGCGGACCCAAAUGGACGCGCGCUUUGUCCGCUUUUUGUCCGUUCAGGCCAACCGCCCGCUUGACGUCCACCAUCUUUUUGAUUUGGAUCAGCCAUGUGCCCAAUGCGCACGACCCAUUUCAUGUCCAUGCAUAAAUUUUUAAAAGGCCCAUGGCCAUAGAGCGCGCGACCCAUUUCAUGUCCACGCAUAAAUUUUUAAAAGGCCCGCGGCCAUAGAUCUUGUCAGCGGCCAUGCCAUCGGCCAAAGUUCAUUCAGCGCUAUGCCAGCCUCCAAAAAGGAUUACGGCAUGGUUGAGCUAAGGCAUGAGAGGAGGUACAAAAAGGGGAGCAAGAAUGACCUCGGAGCCCCAUGGUACUUAGUGGCACGUAAGAUGACUCGGAUGUGCAGACCACAGUUUCACAACAUUAUCUAAACAAACUAACAUAAGUAAACAAGCUAUUUUAACAAUGAUUCAGCACCCGCUCCAAUAACACCACCUCCUAUAACUAUCAUGAGUGCAAAAAAUGUCGCAGGCGAUAUACAUAUACAGCCAUAGCAAAUAACUGCCAGUCAACACGAAGAUAUAUACAUCUGCUGCUAACUCAGAACCGGGGAUCAACUAACUACGAAGGUGCAUGAUCUGGGUGAGGAUUCAAAAAAUGGAUGAUGCCACCAUCAUAUGCCUGCAUUCUGAUUGUUGCCAGCCAGGAUGAGAGAAAUCUCCAAACCUCUGCUGAAAGCCUGGUUGAACAGUAGCCGUGUCUGGAAGGUGGAGAUGAAGGGAAACCAGGAGCAGAUGGCUAUGGGCACAAAAAUGAUCAUUCCCAUGCCAGCAUCAUACAGACGAGCCAGCGAGCGCACUAUUUUCCACAAACCAAAUCUCUUCACAAUUGGUUUCCAUGCCACAGCAAUCUGCAGAAGCAAAAAAAAGAUCGAUAAAGAUUUGGUUAGUAAGAAACUCUAGUAUCCUGAAAUUUGGAUUUGUUUUCUUUGAGAUAAAAAUCUAUAUGGUGUUUGAAACAGUUGUACGGUAGUAAAGAUAUCUCCGCCUGUCGAGCUAACAAUGGAGCACCAUUCUGUUACUAUGCAAAGGUAAACCACAUGGAAGACUUGACAUAUACCAUCUGUGUCAUCAUUCUAUAUAUAAAUCCUUUCAUUGCCUACGCAACAUUAGCAGAUCCACUACCAAGUUUUAAGUUGCGUAAUAACCAACUAGCCUUUACUAUCCAGUGUCAUUUUGAACAAUGGCACGGUUUCCGAAAUGCAGGAUUUCAUGGUACCAAAGUUGCCACAUGAAACUCACCGAAAGAAUUCCCCAUCCAGUAGGCACAUAUGCUAGGAUGGAAGCAAGUACAUCUAAAACAGUGAGGGGUGUCAUCGCAAUUGCCACAACCAAACCUGCCAAAACCACUAACAGUGCAAUGCUUUUGACCAGACGCAGGAGCAACUGGAAAUGAACCAUGGCCUUGGGGUUUAAACUAAAUACCUGCAGAUUAAUACAGAAAGCAACACAGGUGAACACUGCGAUCAGUAAAAACCAGGUAUGGCUGUUAAGCAUUACAUCGCAAAUACACGUACCAUUAGGAGGACAAAAAGCCCUCCAAGCACUGCCCAUGAAACCCAAUAUACCUGCAGUGCCAAGACAUGAUAUUACUAUUCUAGUAUUCUUUUCUUUUGAUAAAGUAGGCCAACAAAUGCUUGCAAUUGAUUCUUCCCCAACUGUUCUCAAAGGAACAACUGAUACAUCGGUAAGCUUAAACCCCAUUCAAGGAAAUAGUAGAAUCAGACAUGGUGUUGUGAUGUUUUCAAGCAGUUAAGACGACCAAAACUAGCAAAAGAAUGGCAAUGCUUAACAUUCAAUCCAAGAUCAGUUUUAUGCGGUGCCGGAAUUGCACCUGUGUAUGCGUUAUGGGUGGGUUCAGGUAACAGAAUAACAGAUUAGUGUUUUGAGUUAAUUUUGCUGUAAUGGGGUCACUACUAAAUUAAGUAAAUGGCAACCAUUUUUAACAUGGUCUUCCUUCUAAACAUAUAAGAAAUGAAAGAAAAUAUUUUUGUAAUCUUCUAAAGUACAAGUGGAAGAUCAGACAAUCAACGAUAUAUACAAAUAUAGACUUUGCCAUAGCAAGUGCUUAAAGAAACUGCAGUAUCUUUGGUACAUAAAAUUACAUGUUCAUUUGUCAGUGAAUUUCAUGUCAGCAAGCAGAACAGUGCUGAAACACAAACAUACCGAUAAUGAUGUACUUUCUUUGCCUGCAUGCAUGUGGUAAACAACUCCAUACUGGAAAAUAAAAAAUCUUAAACUAAGUAUAGUUUCCAGUAUCCUCCCGCGGAAGGUGUGAAUAUGUGCCUGAAAAGGAAAUGUUUGGAAAUGAAUUACUUUCAACACCUUGGACCUCAACAAAAUUUAGUGUAUGAAACUUCCAAGCGUAAUACCAGGGGUGGAUCCACAUGGGGUCAAGGGUGUACAUCUGUACACCCAAAUGUUUUGGCAGGAAAUUUUUAUAUAUGAUUUAUACUAGAUACAUGUAUAAAAAGUGGUGUGGUUUGUGCAAUAAACAUCAUGCCGAUUCAUAUAAACUGGUCUCAAACCUUCGGUCCAACUAUCACAAACAUCUUCAUUCCCUUAAGACCAAUUACCAUCGAUGCGUUUUCACCAUCUCGUAUGUUGCAUUAACACCCUAUUACUAUUACCAACCCUACAUGAACUACGGUUUUAACGACGGGUUUCUGGCCAUGACAUAUUUUAUGAUUGUGUAGAAAACAAUCUUCAUUUUUUUACUAUUUUCUGUAGGGUACUGUCAUUAUUAUUGGGGAAAAAGUUCUUAGUAGCUACAUGAACCUUUUAGUUAUUACAUUGGACAAAAUAUUUGAACACCCAAUUCUCGAAUCCUGGAUCCGCCACUGCAUAAUACGUAUUGGUAUCACAUGAAGAACAUAAACCCAACUGCAGACUUAAGGAGACAAAUUAUGCAAUGGCACAAAGGAAUUAACACCUUUCAGUAUUUUCUUUAAUUGUGUCCUUUUCAAAGAAAAUAAUUGCGGAAAGAGCACAAGUAAUGACAUAAUCAGUGUAGAGGUGGUGCAAAAACAGAGCAGGAAAAGUACGCAACAUUUGGCAUAGUAGUAAGCAAGACGAAAGAUAAAGUGAACUUAUUGAAACUAUUGAUACAUCUAUAUAAGAAUUCAAAAGCAUAAAUCACAAUGCUGCUUCAAAGAAAUAUGCCAAUAUGUUCUCAUGACAUCAUCAGGCUGCAGCAGGAUAUUUGUAGAAGUUCAGUUUUGUGACAAUGUUGAACUUCAAAAGCAAUUCAGGUGUUGACACAAAUAACACAGCAAAUAGAUGUCGUAACAGAUCAUUCAAGACUGGAGAGGCUAGUCAAAGCAACAUUGAAUUACCAGUUCUUCAUCCCACCAAGCUUCCCAGCUUUCUUCUCCUUUAACCCCAAUACCACCUCGGUAAAAAAGCCAGUUUGUCCAGUCUCUGAAAUCCUCGACGACCCUGAGAGAGCAAGAGAGAAGGGGUGGCACAGGGUUUUAUCUUUGUCCUGACAGUUUAUAGUGAUUGGCUGGAAUAAACAUACAUAGAAUGCUAAGUGGCUUACUUUUGCCAUUCAAAUCCAGAAGGGUUGAAUACAUAUGGAGCAAAAAGCCAAGAAAGAGCCAUAAACCAGCUACUUAUGGAAAGUAAGAUAUAGCCAAUUGCUCCACUGUUGUUAAAACCAUAAGCUAAAAAGAUAACCAACAGAAGUGCAACCUCCAGCCUACAAAAUGGAACGAGAAUUGUUGGCUUGGAUAUUACUGAAAUUGCACAUACAAUCAUGAAAGUAACAUCACAUGACAACAUACCCUUUCACAAAAUGGCUUCGGGAAUAAAGACGGUAAUUCUCAGCAAACUUAAUAUGCCGUACCACAAAACCCCUACCAGUUGCUCUAUACUGGUAAUAAAUAAGAAAAACAAGAUCAGUAUAGUGCAAAAUUCUCAAAAACAGAAAAAUGUAGUGUGUGAGAUUAAGAAGACGAGCAUGACUUCCAGAAAGCCCUACCUUUGCACCUCCAUGCAGUAUUGUGCGACCAAAAUAGUGAGUCCUUGUUCCAAGAGAGAACGUGAAAAAUAUGGAGCAUAGUUGGAACUGCAUAGUAAUGAAGCUAACAAAAGCCUGCAUCCACACAUUCACAUGUAAGGAUUCAUAACCGGCUGUUCUCUAGGGAAAUAUUUACAAGGUAGUGGCUAUUCAUGAACCAAGCUAAUAAAUAGGGCCAAGGUUCCACAUAACACACCAGAAAGAUAAGCUCAUCUAAAAAACGAAUAAAUUAGAACUAUACUGAAAUCAGAAGGAACAUAACUUAAUUUAAACUCAAUAUUCUUUUCAGAGUAGAGACAGUAAUAAACCAACCAUAAAUAGAGAUAUGAUAAUAAACCCAGAAGUCUGCCAAGGAAGAGAAGUACCGUCAGGACACCUUCUUCCAGGAUGAAACCUAGAAUCAUAGGAAUUGCAGUAAACACACCAAUCUGGAAAAGAAACUGGGUGUUCAGAGCCACGCUCAAUGCUUUAUUUCCCUGUAUAUCCGCCCUAUUUUGAAUUGAUUCUCCAACACCAGAUAAAGCCUACAAUACAACAAAAAAUGCGUCAGAAAAAAUCCAAAACGUGACAAAGAAAAGACUGAAAAAUCUACAGAUGCAACGGUAUUUUUGACACAUAAACUGUUACAUACCAUUAUAAUAACAAAUGAAGAAGUUUCUUUUGAAAACAGGUAGUAUUUAAAUGCCAUGCAAAGCUUGAGAAAGUUUGCAUUCACUAUAACUUUGUGUGAACUUUAUGUCCCAAAAGUAACAUGUACUGGCAGCCGCAUGAGCCAACAAAAAGUGCUUAUGCUGUCACCCAACUAUGUUGCAUGAAAAGCAGUGGAGAGAAAGAAUAGCCGAGACAUAAUUCAAGCAAUAUGUGUGGCCUAUAUGACUGGAACAGCAGUAACUAGAGGCACAGAUAAGCAUGACAAAAGGCGCAGGAAACAAGUAGGUUUGACAUUUACAUGCAAGUAGAUUGACAUGAUAAAAAACGACCUGUCUGAGAUUCUCACAGAGAUCUUACUGCAAAGAAGGAGAACAAUGGAUAUUGAAUCUUACCAGAUAAGUUUUACCAUAGAGAAAUAUGUACACUGUCAGUACAGUUAGCUGCAAAAAUAAAUAAACAAUUAAAUAUCGGCAACUCUUUAAGGACAAAAGAAGAAAAGGGAUACAACAGCGGAAUUCUCAAGGUCAACAGGCAGCAUCUUCAAUUUGUAAAAUUAGUUUUAUCAAUGUGACUUGCAAUAAUACAAAUCCCACAGAUACAGGUAUAGCUCUUAUAAUGCACAAAACAUGAGCUUGCACAAGAAAAUGUAUUAGUUGGGAAUUUAAACUAAGAAUAAUAUUUGAACAUAAAAGAUUCGUUCGAAUGAUAAUACAUAGUAGAUUCACAGAAAGUAACAAAAAUAUUAUGGGAUCAUAGUGAGCAUUUGGAAACAGAGAACAGAAAACGGUUAACAGAACAAUAAUAAUUGCCAUAGCAAUGCCUGAAGAUCCAUACAACCUUUUCCACCCCUUUUCAAUGAAAAGAAACGCAAAGUCUUUGCGUUCUCUCAGAAAAAAAAAGAUCCAUGCAAUAUACUAUGGUCAUAAAUAGAUGACCUUUUGGGCCUUCAGUCACCAACAUGCAACUUUGAACAUCAGUUUUCAUACGAAUAUUCUAGUGAGACUUGAUAGAACUGCAAUAUUAUGACAACACUUAUCUUCAAAAAUCUAAAUAGUAUGAGUUUCACAUGACCAAACUACUUUUUCAUAUUUAUGAGUCGAGGUUAGAAAUGUUUGACUGCACGCAUUCUAGGACAUUGUAUAUUUACGAACAGGAUAGUAGAAAACACAGCUGCCAGAAAAAACAUAACAUGUUGUAUCAGAUAUAGAAUUACCAUAGUACAGAAGUAAAACCCAACAGUAGUCACAUAGAAGGAUAACAUCCUGAAAAAAUCAAAAAGCUGCCCAAGUCUGUAUAUAUCUCUGCUAAGAACUUGUUCGCCGUUUCCUCCCGCAACUUUUCCUUCAAAUAGUGCGAUCUGAUUAAGCCCAACAUCUCUUCCUUUACCAACCUACAGAAUAUGUCAAACAUCCAUACAAUGUUCACAAGGCAGUAGUAGAGCCCAAGUUAUAUGCUACAGUCGGAUAAGAGUGGAGAUCAAUGUGUGGGAAGAGAGAACCACACUGAGGGCAUCAGUAUUUUUUUAAGCAUUUCAUUCAUUUAACUAUAAAAUUGCUGGUAAAUAUAAUUAAGUGGUAGAGGCAAACUAUAUUACUCUCUGAGUAACAUAAAGUAAGCAAGGUUUAAAGCUGGCAGCUCAAAAGUGGAAUCACUCAAGGCCAAACAUAUUUAGAAUAUUAAGAUGAAGAAAAAAUGGCAUCCAUCAGAAAUUCAAAAUACUGGAACACUUGUGUUGCUUCCUUCCCCUUAACACACCGGAAAGUUAGCUAGUAAUGACCAAAUGGAAGUAAUCUACCUCACACGACUGAAUGACUUCGAUCAAGAGUUCAUAUAUGCUCUAAUUUAGCAGAAACUGCAAUGUAGUCACAUAGUCUCCAUCUAAAGUUGUGUACAAGACAUGCAGUAGAUUCAGUUCUGUUAUUAAGUCUAUCAAAAAAAAUUGCCGGGUGUUAUUAAGUCUAUCCUUGCUGAGUUCUGUAGUACGGUUUUGUCCAAUAAAGGAGUAUAGAUGCGAGGAGUGAACUAAUAAAAGAUUACUUGUUUAGAAAGAUUCAUAGUCAACAAACAAAGAAAGCUUAAGGUUUCCGUUGACUGAAACACCUGAUCAACAGGUACAGUAAAACAAUUACAAAUUGAAGAAAAACAAGACCUGGAUAUACUCAUGGUGAGUUAUGUUCCCUUGACGUAGAGUAGAGUUAAACCCUGCAAUUCAAAGAUGGUGCACCAGUAAGAAGAUACUCCCUCCGGUCCUUUUUACUCCGCACAUUAGCUUUGACUGAAGUCAAAGUUUGCUAAGUUUGACCAAAUUUAUAUUAGAAAAUAUUAACAUCUAUAACAUCUAAUAAAUAUAAUAUGAAAAUAUAUUCUGAGAUGGAUCUAUUAAUAAAUGUGUUGUUAUGUGAAUGUUAAUAAUUUUUUGUAUAAACUUGAUCAAAGUUGGAUGAGGUUGACUUCAGACAAACCUAAUGUGCAGAGUAAAAAGGACCGGAGGGAGUACAACUCCACGAGUGUAAUAUAUUAUCAGCUAACUAGCGUAAUGAUAAAUGCUAUAGCAGAAACUUUCACGCAUAUAUGGAAUUAGUAAGAGGGAUACCAUAAACAAUUGACAUACUGAUUGUAUGUGGAAGAGAUACCGUCCAACUAAAACAUGAGAAAAAACACAAGACUAAAAUAUGGUGUUCACAGAUGUGUGCGAGGCUUCUACUUGUUUCUUGAGAGUACGGUUGCAUAUAAUGUUGGUACAUAUGGGAGGCCCAUGGUGGCCCAGGCCCAGUACUGUUUAUGUAACCCUAAUGUUGUGGUAUAUAUAUAUGUGUGUGUGGUGGUCCUGUGUGAACCAACCUGCAGAUCGACCAAAACCAAGACUGAAUCCAUUCCCUCUCGUGUUACAACAUGGUAUCAGAGCUAGGUUGUAGCCGCUCGCCUCGCCGUCUCCUGAGGUGGCUGUGGGCAAAGCCCACGGCUGCUAGGGAAGGAGGCGGCGGGGACGUGAAGGAAGGAGGCGGAUCCGGGCGGAGCUGCGCGGUCGGCGGAUCUGGGCGCGGUGUCCAGGAGCUGCUCUCGGCGUGGAUUCGCGGCGGGGGCUGGCUGGGAGCUGUGCGCGGGUGGCGGCGGCGAGCUGCACGCGCGAGCAAGGCGCGGGCAUGAUGAGCGCGUGUGCGGACUGGAUCUGGCGAGCUCGGCGCGGUGGGCGCGUGCAGAAGGCCGGGAGAUGCGGAUCUGGGGCUUGGAGUUCGAGCUCGUGCUCGUGCUCUAGGCGGCGCUGCGAGGAGGCGCUGGGAUGCACAGCACGCGCUGGCCAUGGCUGUGGGUCGCUGGGCAGGCGGCGUGGCGCUGGCGAGCGGCUGCGCGCGCGGCAAGUGAGGCAUGGAGAGGCUGCGUGCGGGCAGAAGAGGGAAAGAAAAGGAAGAAGAGGAGCUGAGGUGCGCCUGCGCGCGCGCCAAGUGCUGCUGUUGUCCUGGUGCUGCCUGCUGCUGGAAGUAAAAAAAAAGAGAGGAGUUGAGCUGCUGGUGCAGAAGAGGAGGUGAGGUUGUGCGCGGCGAGAAGGAAACAGAGGAGGAGCGGCCAAGGAGGAAGAGGAGAAGGAGGCUGACUCUGUUGUUGCUGCUGUUGUGGCUGCAUCUGUAGCUGCUGUGGUUGCGUCCAAGUGUAGCGGCGCGUGAGGAAGAGGAGGUGCUGUUGGGCGCUGUGGUCCUGGCGGCUGCUGUGUUCUGCUGCUGCUGCUGACAAAAGAGUAAGAAGGAAGGUUGUGUGCUGCUGCUGCAGGAGACGGAGAGGAGGCAUAGGAGAAAGAGAAGGGCAGCUGCUUGUGGCUCCUGUGUGCUAGUUGCUGCUGCUGUUUGGAAGAGGAGUUGGUCGCAGCUGCUGGUGCUGCUGAGGGGGAGAAGGAUGAGAUGGGGGAGAAGGAUGAGAUGUUGCGCUGGCUGUGGUGUUGUUGCUCCUCCGUGCUUGGUGCAAGGAGCAGAGGGGGAGAGAUGCCUUGGUUCGCUGCAAGGACCAAGGAGAGAGAUGCUGCUACUGAUGGCAGCCAGAUGGAUUUUCUUUUAGGGGGAGAGAGGGAGAUGUGGUGAUGAUGGAGAUGAUGAGGCUGCGGCUUGAGUGUGGUUGGUGAUGAGGAAGUGUCCGGGGGAGAGGCCGUCGUGCCUGAGGUGAGAAUGGUUGAGGCCUGACCAUGGGAGAGGCCGUCGUGCCUGAGGAGAAGAUGGCUGGGGCAGGAGUUGCCCGGAGAGGCCGUCGUGCCUGUGGAGAAGAUGGAAGAGGUCAGUGGCCGAAGAGGCCGUCGUGCCUGUGGAGAAGACGGGCUGAGGACAUUGAGGCGAGUGUGGAUGGUUCUACGGAACCUGUGUAGUGUGGCAGCCGGGUUGUUGAGGAGGUGCAUGGUGCUCAGUUGGCCAUCACAAGUUGGAGGUGGUGAGAAGAUGAUGGAGAGGGCAAUGGCUCUCAUGUAUCGUAGUUGGUUAAGUUUUCUGUUCAUUAGAGUGGUCGUAGUUUGAGUUUAUGUAGUUGUUGCAAGAUGGUCAUGGGUGUUUACCCAUGAUCAUCUUGAGGGGGAGUGUUGGUACAUAUGGGAGGCCCAUGGUGGCCCAGGCCCAGUACUGUUUAUGUAACCCUAAUGUUGUGGUAUAUAUAUAUGUGUGUGUGGUGGUCCUGUGUGAACCAACCUGCAGAUCGACCAAAACCAAGACUGAAUCCAUUCCCUCUCGUGUUACAACAUAUAAUAUCUAGAUUACAAAAUGGCAUUGCAACAUAUCAUUAUUAACUUGUUAAUUUCAUCAAAAUUCCUUUCCAUGAAUAACAGCAAAAAUACUGUUAGUGUUUUGUUAAACAAACAUGAAAAUUGUGAGAUAUUUCGUAUGAUUUCCACUUUUACAGAUCAGCAAACAGUAUAUAAUAUCAAAAUGAGUAAAACAUAAAAAAAUGUGUAUAGUUGACUCCGAAGUGAAGAAUUUCUUUCCCUUAUGAAGAGCAACACAGAAUGGUAACCAGUUGGGAUCUAAAGACAAAUCACAACAAGAUUUAAAAUAUUAUUAGCUAGCACGAGUAACAGAAAGGAAGGGCAAGAUAAUGCAAAGACUCACUUCAAACAUAACCUAAUAU
rnacentral:lncRNA from 1 species